rnacentral:lncRNA from 1 species
AACAGGAUCUGUUCUAUAGGCUCGUACCAUUGUGUCCUUGAGUUCUAAGGAGACAAGAACCGAAGUCUGGUUGAUGAAUCAUGACCGUGUGAUCAGAGCGUGAUUAAUGGCUAUGAUGAUUUCUCUUGGAGAUGUUAUCUGUGGCAGUGGAGGAUCGUUCUCAACUGGAGUCUUCUCUGGUUGGGUUGGUCACACGGUUGUCUGACAGACUUCAACUUUUUUCAUCUCUUUGUUGCUCUAUGCAUGGAAAUGGAGUUAAUUAUUCUUCUGUAGAUUAAUAGUUUUCACUUUUCAUUACUAAUUUUUCAACUUAUGUGUUUCAAUUUUGAAUUACAACAACCGACAUCAUGAAUCAAACGAUGUUAUUGACUGGGUUUCCUUUCUGUAAUAGGGGUAGCAACCUGAUUCUGAGAAACUCAGUGGUUACUGGUUAGAGAUAGUGGAGGUAAAUAAUAAUGUGGUGUCACAGAAAAAAUGGCCUGGUUAUGACUGAACUUUAUGAGUUCUCUUAAGAGUUUUGGUGAAUUGAGUUUUAGAGGGGAGGAAGGAUAAGAGAAGACUUCAAAGGCAUUAAAUACAUCAUGGGAUUACUAUCGAGCUUUAAUUUUCUCUCCAAAACUUAACUCGUAAACUGGUCUUGGUAUAGCGGAAAAGUUCCUAAAUCCUAUUUCCUUUCCACCAAAUAGAAAACUAUUUGAUCUUGCAAACUAGUAUAUCCUAAAUCCUGCAAUCCUGUCUUGUUAUAGGGCAAAAGUUCUUUUGAUUCUUCAUAUUUUGUACUGAUAUACACUUGUAAUUUCUCCCAACUAGAGAACCAGUAAUGAAAACUCAGUUUGGAAAAUAAGGAAAUACUCCUAAUAUAAUUAUAUUUUUGCGCCUAGAGGAAAAAUAAGCCAAAUAUACAGAUAUAUUUAUAGGUGUCAAUUGCAGCUACAUAAUUUAAGAAGCAUUGGUUCUUUCAUGAAAUACAUGUUAAUCUACAUAGUGAUGUUGGUCAUCAACUACCAAAUGAAAGAGUGACAUAUAAAGGCAAAACUUCAUGACAUUCUGCCACCAAGGUUUUCAAACUUAAAGGUGAAAAUCUGCAAAAUUGCUUCAAGUGCAGAAACAUUCCAGCUCUCAACAUGCCUAACAAUCUGUUAAAUAAAUAGUUGCAAUCACUAGUUAGUAUGGAUCUCAAAUCACACCAAUAAGUGCACAUAUAUGAUGCAGAAUGAAAAGGGUGCAUUUUGAUUCUGACUUUGAAGUCUUCAUCUAAUUCAUAUAAUGUUCUUCCAUCAAUGGAAAUCAGAGGUCUCCAAGGAAGCUUUAAGUUGGUCCUGCAUAUCAACCGAAAAAAUAUCCGCGAAGAAAUUCAGACUUCAUUGGGAAUAAUACUUGGACUUGGAGGCAGACAUGUAACCAAAAAUAUCUACUUAACACUGUUUUCUUAUUAUAAAUACUGCAAUAGUGCAGCAACUCCUAAGGAAUCCUUAGUAAAAAGCUACUUUUCUGUUUUAAAGGGAAAAUAAUGACAAAGAUAUAACUUUUAUAUAUACUCAGAAGCAUUACAUUCACUGCAUUCUUUCAGCAAUAGAACUACACCAUAUUGCAUUUACGAGCAUUUUAUCAUUCUUUGAACAAUGUGACAAACUGGCAACUGCUAUGAGAUGCAUAUAUGGGGAAAAUCCGCAUGUCGAUAUCUUAAAAUACAGCGCAAAAUGAAUUGAAUAGAAAGUGAAGCAUGGAGAACCUUAGUUUCCAUGUAGCCAGCACAAAAUUUGUGUCAGAAUCAACAUCCUGCAUUACAAAUUUAUAUAAUGAGUGAAGCAUGAAGCUUGCAUUUUUUAAGGAAACGGUAUUGUUCAAGAGGCUAAUGCCCUUUCAGUUGUAGCUAGAUCUAGAUACUAAUCAAAAUAAUUUAUAUAGGCAAUGCAUAAGAAGAAUGAUAAAACUAACAACUAUAUGCAUCUUAAAAGUCCAAUGUGGUUAUUGUUUAUAUUCAGAGUUCUGUGAUUAAUCAGCUAUAAUAUCAGGACUUUCAGUUUACAAAGCAAGAUAGGCUAGAAACUACACUAUAAAAUAGAAAGAUGAACCCACAUAAUCAAAUGGGGAUGUAAUGUGUGUGUGUGUAUAUAUAUAUAUAUAUAUACUGUCACAGUCCAAGCCCUGCACCAAAAGGGAAUAAAUUGGGUCAAAGUAUCUAGAUUCUAGACCAUAGGUGUAGCUUCAAAAUUAGAACAUUUGCAAUGAGCAUAAACCUUCACAGGUAAGUGGAACUGAAUCAAAAUUUCAAUAAUAAAGGUUCAUUGUAUUUAAAGUUUUAGACUUUUCAAUGUGAAUCUUCUUUGACUUUCUUUAUGUAAUAUCCAAACAGGUCUAAUGAGUAAAUGGUUUUACUGUUUUAAUGACAAAGUCCAAAAGAGUGCAUCUUCCCUUUUCCACAAAAGAACACCCUUGGACAAGAAUUCCACCAAUAUUGGAUUCACACCAGUUAGUCUCAUGUAAGUACUACUACUACAUACUUUUACAACUAGUAUACAAUACCUACCUUCUCGAUCUUUUGUAGUUUAAUAGACGCGCAAUCGAAGAAGGGAACAAGCAAUUUCAAGUUGCGUGCAUAUAACUCCCGACCUGUAUGGCCAUGAAUCAUAGCUUCAGUUGAUUGACCCCUUUUCGCACUGAUCAGUUAGCUUUUGCAAGCCUUAAAGAUUUGAAACCAGAAGAUAGAGUUUUUGUGUGUGACAGCAAUGUGUAACUUAAACUACUAAUCAAGCUGCUGAUGAAAACAACAGAAGAGAUAGGAAACUAAGCACAAUACAAAUUAGAAAGAGUAGCGUAAUAGUAGUUAUUGGUAAAAACUGUAACUCUUACCACGAAAUUUAAUAGUUGGAUCUUCAAAGAUACAGUCUUCGGUAUAGAUCGAAGAAGUGAAGUUCCCUAAUCGUCAAACAUAAGUGAGAAAUGCAUUCUUUAGUUUUAAUUUUUAACUUUCAACUUAAGCUUUAUAUGUUACAUUGUUGAUAUUCAAUCAUGCAUGCUAAAAUAAGUGAUAGAUAACACAUCAUACCAGAAAUGAAGGAAAGCUGAUAUCAUAAUAAUAGUAAUAAUAGAAACAUGAAAUAAAAAAUAAUGGCUGCAAAACUUUCAAAAGGAUAGUGAAUCAGGUAGUAAGAGUGGUACUAUCAUAAAAAGUAAAAAUAUCGGAUUUUCUUGAUAAUAAUAAGAAGUACUAUCAUAAAAGUAGUCACAUGUGCAGUGAUGUACAAUUGAAUUACAAGGGGAAACAAAUCUACACAGAACAUCAAAUUAAACUAGAAAAGGGAUGAAAGGGGGUACCUGUAACAAAAUAAGCCUUGCCAUAAUCAGACUCAAUGAUCACUACAACAUCAUCAACACUUGAAACUGAGAAUUCAUCUUUUUGUUUCUCAAUAUCUCGACUCAAAUCGCUGCGCAUUAAUAAGUAGGAUUAAAUAUUAAACACAUAAAGAAUAUUGUGGAUUUCAUUGGCAUAGAUAGACAAUAGUCCACCUUGUUUGAAGGGAAGGAGAGAAAAGCCUCAAGAGUUCUGUCACUCCACUAACUACUACUUUCAAUAUCUGAGGAGUUUUUGUUGUUUCUCUUUUAAAGCUUGCAUUAAUCAUCUUUCUGCUAUUGAGAAUGUGAGUGUUACUGUUUGAGCACAAGUGAUAACUACAUAACUGCAACUGCAAAGUAAUAAUCUUAAUCUGAGAGGCUAUGUAUAUUAUUGUUACUAUCAUCAAGGGAACUUUGAAAAUAUAAAUUCAGCUAUGUAUAUUAGUGUACCUGUAAGUUUAAGGACAGUGGAGGAGGUGUUCCACUUAACCAGCACCAUGUUCUUGUUGCCAUUUUGGUGUCAUAAGAUUUUGGUUCAGAAUUGUUUUGUGGUGUAUGAGAGAGCACCUUUAUAGGCCCAUUAGGACAACAAAGGCAAUGUAAUCCAUUCGACCAUUCCAUUUGGUCAAAAACUAAACUUUGGUUAGGACUUUAGAGCCUCAUAAAAAAGAAUGUCACUUUCAUAAGCUGAAUUGUUUCUAAAGUGAGUAAUUAAGAAUGCUACUUUGGAGCACCAAGCGUUGUGUUGUAAAUGAUUCAAACAUUUUCGGCUUGGAUUAACACACUGAUUUACAUCAAUUAAUUAUAUAUUAAAUUUAAAUUUGUUGUCCAUCUCAUUUAGAUAUCAUUAUAAUUGGUGUAGACUAUUUUGACGAUCUUAUACAACAAUGAAACAUUCAUGAUUUACUUUUCUAAGGUUGAUGAUUUGCACCAUUUCAAACACACAAAUAAUGACAACUAAUCAUGUUUACUUGAAGGAUCACACACCAACUAAAUUAUUUCAUAUGUCUCUUGUCCAGUGAUAGGUCCUUGGAGAUUUUAAUUCAAAAUUGCAGCCCUAAAGAAAAAAUAGUAAUAAAAGUUUUGGGCUAAGAAUAUCACACGCUGGAUAGGAAUCACAAUUUAUAGGAUACCAGAUUUCAAAACUAUAAACUGCAAUGCUUGCUCCGAGACUAAAAGUUCUGUACUUUUUUAUCAUUUUUGGAUUGAAUAUACAUUAUAAAAUGUUACAUGUAUACGGAACAAACUACAAGCUAAUGUAGCUACUUAAUCUUCAAAAUUAUAUCAUACUAGACUUAAUUCAUCAUUAGUAUUUGAAAAUUUAAGGUUAUCUUUAAACUCAGCAUCAAGCUCCUUCCGCAAUGCCACGAGCUCUUCCCCCACAUCACAUAUAUAGGCCGAUGCUUGCCUGCCGGACAAGGUUGCACCUUCCAUGCUGUCUAUGUAGUCCUGAACAAAUUAAUUUCAUAAAAGACAGCAAUAUCAGUGAAACUUAGAUAUCACAACUGCUAUGAAACUAGAAAAAUCAUACUCCAUUUGCGAGACUGCACGGCAAAAAAGAUUUAACAGCUCAUUAAAAUAGUGGCAUCGGCUGAAAAUGUUAAAACUGUUUGGUAAAUUUGAGUAAUCUGAAUCCCAUACAGUAAGGAAGUGAAUGACUAGGCUAGUUUGAUUAAGAUGUGGACAAGCCUAGUAACAAUUUACAUAACAAUCCAAUGUAUAUUUUCAAUCUAGUAAAAAACGGGUGCAUGUCAUAUACAUCAUUUUCCAUCUAACAUUUUAGACCCAUUAGGAAAUUUUGCACUCCUGAAUCCUGAUACUAAAAUAAAUGACAAUAAAAAGGUGGUAUUUCACUGUAGAUUUUGGAACAACUCAACAAUGGAUCCCAUUGAAUCAAGUAUAGCAGAAAGUGGGGGGUUUAUUGUUUGAGUCAAAGGAGAAACUUCACUUUCUAAACUCUAUUUCAUUGGUCAUACUUGAAGCCCAGGAGGCAAGAACCUAUAUAGAGGUCUGAAGAUUAAACUGACUACACCAUAGGGUCUCGUGCAUUUCCGCUAAAAUAAUUCUUGAGUCCAUGAAUUUUUUAGGGUUACAUCUUAUAUGCAUAAGACAAGCACAAGUAUAAUGUUAGUUAAGAAGGUGUGAGGUAUUUGAACUUACUUGCUUUGUGUAAGAGCCAGAAAGAAAGAAAUUUUUCACUGGUGUCUUUUGAUCAGGCCUAAAUGGAUCUUUACCAGGUCCCUCGCGGUACAAAGAUUGUCCAAUUUUAACAACAGAUGACCAAGUCACUUCCAAACCUUGAGCUGAUGGGAAUAGUGAUAAAACCUGAUAAAAAAUUUAAAUCAAUGUAAUGAGAAGAUAUAUCAUUGAAUAAGGACACUGAAAAUAGACUGGAAACAGGAAUUUCUGGUGUAAUUUAUGACAGAAAAUAGUAAAAAGAGUAAAUGCUACACUCAGAACAAUCCCAAUGACCAUUAAAUACGCAUCAAAUGAACAAGUACCAAUUCAAUUACUAACUGCAUUGUGAGACAGGCUGAUCCCAUAUAUUUCAGUGAAAAUGUUUACCACCCACUCAUCAUUGAUAUAUCAUAUAAUAUUGCAUGCUGAUAUAGUAAAACUACUCAACACGCACUAACUACCAAAAGCGUGUGAAUUAGCUCCUUGUUUAGACACACUUCCUAUGUCAUCGCUAAGUCAACUAUGAAAGAAUAUAUAACAAACAGAAUGAGAAAAGCUACUAUUUUUAACCCACCUGUUUUGCUACCCUUGCAACAAUUUCAUCAUUUGGUAAGGGCAUGUAUGGAUCACCUGGUGUCAGAACACAUCUGAAAGAUGAAAUAAUAUUAUGCACUUUGAAGGUCAAGAUAAAAUCAAAUAUACUAUGAAUGUUGCUGACAAAAGUUUAAUGCCAUGAGAAGGAUGAACCAGUAAACCUGAUGCAUUUAGCAAUAUCAGAUACAAGUUGCAUGAUAGAUUGAUUAUGCAGAUUCAUCCCUUGCAUAACAUACUUAGGCACACUAGAUUUUAUGUAAAAACAAAUCAUGAAUGAAAGGGAAAAUUUGUGUUUAUAUGCACGCAUGCACUUACUGGAGCAAUGAUCCUUGUCCCUCAAUGUAAUAAUCUUCAGGAGAUGUGAGUGCAAGGUCUGCAAAGCAAGAAAAAUCUGCAUCAGGGGUAUAGAGAAGGUUGUCUAACCCAAUAGCUUUCCCCAGUUGCCUGCCAUCCAGAAAGUUUUCAUAACGAAGUUCAGCAAUAACGAUUGAAGAUAGUAUAUAAUUCCACAUUCUUAAAACAAAAGUAUUUAACACUAUGGUUUCUAUAUGACCCUAAAAUUUAGAUAAUUACCUUGACACUUCUAGAUCCUGCAACUCUGUAACCCAACCAUUGUAUCUGAGUUGCACUGUAACAACAGGAACUCCAACUAGUUCAUAUAUGUUAUCGAAAAACUGAUGUUUCCUCCACUCUGAUGGAAGUAAUCUUUUGAUUCCAGGGACAUCACAGGCUGAAAUCAAGUGAAAGACAGUUUAAGGCAUGAGAAAUUUUUCCAAAACAUGGGAAUCACAAUACAAACAAACGGUGAGGAAACCACUAACCAGCAACAUAAGCAUCAGCUUUCACAACUUUCUUAUCAGUAGCCUGAGAAAAUAAAAAUUAAUAUGUUGUUAACUACAAACUCACCUAAAUUAUAACCAAGCAUGUAAAGAUUUCAGAAAAUAACACAUAAAGCAUAUCACCUUUGACAUGGAAAGUCCUGUAACAUAAGUACUCCCAUCAGCAGAGUUACCAUAAAGUAUUUCUCUGCAUCCCCACCUAAGAUGGAACCUGUUCCAGCCAUGAAUGGGAAUCUAAGUAGGGAGGAAUUUGGAUAAUCAUCGUGGCAAUAUCUUCAUGUCUAAAAUUAUACCUGCCCCCUCUAUCCGUGAUGUACUUCCGGAUAGGGCCACUCAAAUAAACAUCUGGUGAACCCUUCAGCAUUCUCAAAAGAGAAGCCUCAGUCUUUGUGGCAAACAAUGCAAAUAUAGUGAGCAUGCAACGGGCGCUGAUAUUAUCACAAUCAAUAAACCCAAGGGCAUAGGCAACUGGAUCCCACAUUCUUUGAAUACUCGCACGUGUACCACCUUUGGAUAAAAACCAGUCUGAAAAGCUAACCUGUAAGGAAUAUGUGAAAUGGUCAGAAGAACAGAAGACUGAAAAAUACAGUUGGUGCAAAGUGAAGUGUUGAAGAUCCUUGCUAUUUACUCGUUGUGUGUAUAUGUAUGUUUGUGCAAGUGCAUGUGUGUAUGGGCAUGCACAUAUGUGUAGUGGGAACAGGGAAAGAAACCUAAAUAUAAAGCUGGAAACACAUAAUCAGGAGCAUCAUUUUGGAAAGUUACCAAAAAUAACAAGAAAUAGUUUAUCCUCUUACACUAUCUAAAUUCCUUAUGUCCUGUAAUGCACCAUCUGGAUCAACAAGAGCUCUGACGACAGGACUCAGUGCAAGAGCCACAGCAUUUCUAGCCUUAUCAUAAGUCUGUUCAUAAACAAUAAGUUAAGUGCAAUGAGUUCCAGUGAGGAAAAUGAGCAAAUAUAUAUUUCUGGGUAUACGAAUAUAUUAUAUUUUGAUAUACAAAAAAGUGUAUAAUUCGUCAAUUUAUAAAUAAACAGGGUUUCUGCAUAAUACCAAUGACCAAGCCUGGCAAUCUAAAUGCACGUGAUAAUAGAAUUUACAAUGGCAUUACCUUAAGCUGAUUUGUGGUCAAGAAUGCCCUUAUCCCAUGUAAUGGUGCCCCAACCAGGAAGCGAAAAUCGAGUUCUGCACUGGAAAACUAAGUUAUGAACAAUGCAUUAUAAAAUCAUUAUCUUUCUUUUUAUUUAAAACGUGUGGCAUUCUUAGUGAGAAAAACAAGAAGAAAAUAAUGAACAAAUACAAAGCAAGUUUUUGCUUCCAAAAACAUACCUCCAAUUUGACCCCCUUUGUUUACAAAAGUGUGAGUGUGAUCCUUCACAAGUAGAUUGUUAUUGGCACUCACCUAGUCCAAGUACAGAUGAAGAAAAAGCAAUAAGAUGGACAAGUACAAUGAAAACGUUCAUAUCAAGUCAAUAAAUAGAAGUCUCGUGGUCAAAAUAAUGGUGGAAGAAAACAGAUUUUAGAGUGACGAAGAAAUGCAUUAUGACUGCAAGCAAAAACUGCUUACCUUUUUCAUCAAUCGGAAAAGAUUGUUGUAGCAACCAAAGAAAACAUGCAGUCCCAUUUCAAUGUGAUUUCCUUGUUUAUCAACAAAAGAACCAACUUUCCCACCAAUGAAAGACCUUGACUCAUAUAUAUCAACCUGAAUUACAGAAUUUUGAGAAAAAUAUAAUGAAUUAAACAAAUUAGCUAGAAAACAUCAUAAGGCAUUAAUUCAGAUAGAGAAGGACUAAACCUCAUGCCCUUGAUCCAAGAGUUCCACCGCAGUUGACAUGCCCGCAAGCCCAGCUCCUAUAAUUGCAACCUUCAGCUUAGGCCCUCGAUAAUGUUCAGGUUCUGGAGGAAACAGCCCUUUCGGUGCUGGCAAGACAAGGGAAAAGUUUCUGUUGUCAAACUUGUAAUUUAAGAUUUAAGAAUGUGUAAACAAGUUGCAUAAGCUCACCAUAAUAUAGAACCUGAAUAACAUCCUGCACAAACAAGUUCUCACCCGCAGAGACCCACAUAAAUUACACACAACAAAAGGUUUCACGCCCUUGACCCAAUUAUUCGUGUGUACUAACACUACAGUCAUAAAACACAUAAUAUAGAAUAACAAAUUAAACUGAAGAAAAAACUGAAUUUUGGCCACCGAAAACAUCUAUCUAUGGAAAUAACUGAAAUUCUGCUUUUGAGAGAAACUGGAUUUUGCAGCUUUAAUGAGAACCUGAUUUACAAAAAUGUUUCUGCCAAGACCGUUUUUGGAUAAUCAAGUUUAUUUAAAAGUAUAAACAAAGGCCCUUAAAAAGUUAUCCAUCCAACACUCCCCAAAUUUUUAUUUUACAAAAAAUAAAAUAAAAGAUAGUUGAAAGGGGAGUGGAUCAUCCAAAAUUGAUAGAUAAUGAAUUAGAAUUCAGCAUGAUUUUGAAAAAAUUUCGCCACUUCAAUUUUGCAGCUUCCAGGAAAAGCUGAAUUCUCAAAAUUGUUCCUUACCAAAAUUGCUUAUGGAUAAUCACUUUUUAAAAUUGCAAACAAAAAUGCACUAAGAUUUUUCCUAUCCAUCCCAAUCCAACAUUUCCCAAAAUAAAAAGGAGAUAUAGUUGAAAGUUAAACAUGGCAUUCAAUUUAGCAAAAUUUAACAACUUUCAUCAUGUAUACAGAACAAGUCACAAACAGUAAAAAGGUUACAGCAAACAAUGAAAUAAAAAGUAAUACUAACCAUUAAUACUCAUGUCAGAAACAUUAGAGUCCAAAGAACAACGAAUCCGGUAGUUAAAGGUCUUAGUGAAACGGUUACUUCUGGUUGGGACAAAGAAUCCAACAGAAUCUCUUCCUCGAGUUACGGACAGAGAAGUUGCCGGACAAUGAAUCGGAGAAGCCAUCAUAGUCAGAGAGAAAAGAAAGAAAGAAAGAAAACAGGAACCGACUAUGUUGUUGGAAAUUUAAGGUUGUGGCCUUGUGGGUAUGUGUUAGUAUAUGAUUAUAUGUAGUAAGAAAAAGCAUCAAUGGUUAAAUGAAUAGCUACCAUUGGAGUGAAGGGUGUUGGCAUUGUUGUUUGGUUCAGGGGAUUACUACUUUUGAUUUGUGAAUGUGAUCGCUCCUUUUUUUAUUUUCUUACCAUAGUUAUCCAAAAACAUCAAAUUAUUAUAUUUGUUUAUUUUUUAUUUUUAAGUUUUUCUAUAAACUACACAGAAAAAUUGAUGUAUGUAUGUAAUGUAAACCCAUGGUGAAUGUGUACUUUGUGUAGUGACUCUAUGUAAGUUAUAUGAACAAAGUGGUUCAUUACGUAUUUAUGUGUGCAUUUAAGUAUAACGAUGUUAUAUCGUUAUUAGUAAGAGAUGAUAGUAUUAUAUCAUUUUGCAAAAGAAGGAUAAAAACGGAGACAAAGAAAAUUGUCAUAGUUUUUCAUCUUGGUCAUAUAUUCCAUCAAAUUGUCUUCUUAAUAUAAGAUAAUUUCGAGUCUUCGACUAUUCGGUGUUAAAGCUACACAUAUUUGAUAUGUUUCAUAGAUCAAGUUGCAAAUUUGUAUUCUUUAUUUACGUUUUAAACUUUUUCAUUAUGUAGUAUAAUAUUUUCAAUUUAAAUAAUGUAGUUGUUAAUAUAUAUAUAUAUAUAUAUAUAUAUAUAUAUAUAUUUAUUUAGGGAGAGAAUCCACUUACUUUAGGAGUAGAGUUUUUUAAAGUUAUUCUACAUCCUAGCCAUCAAUUCUAGGGAAAUUCAAUGGUUUGUGAUUUGAAUUUUUGAGUAUAUCUAAAUCGUUAGGUUUUCCUAAAAUUAAUGAUUAGGAUAAAAAAUUAAGUUUAAAAAACUUACAAGUGUUGAUUUAUGAGUAUAUUAUGCAAUAUUGAUUAUAAAUUUGAGCCAUUACAUAUUAAAAUUUGUGUGGGUUAUGCAUAGCUGUAAAUAUAAUUGUCUUUAGUUUAACUAAUAUAUGAUAUUUUGGUAAUUUGAAAGUGUUUUUGAGUCACUCAAAAAGUUAUUAGAAGGAUUCUGUAAACAAAAAUUGAAGGUAGUUUGUAGUUUCUAAAAAAACGAGUUUGUAGCAUUUGAAAGCAAUUUUUCAGAAAGCUACUUUAAGUAGUGUUUAGAAAGUAACUUUCAAUAAUUUGCUUUCCAAUUUUCUUUUUCAAUAUUUUAACAAAUUAUAUUACAUGCCCUCAAUUAAAAAAUCUUAUUAACUUUAUUUGUCACUAAUACCUUUUCCUCCAACUAUAUUUCCUUCAUAGAGAAAAACACCUUCAUUCGUGUGACUUCCCAUUAAUUAUCACUUCAGAUAUGUUAGAAAACUAUAGAAUUUUAUAGGGAUAAAGGAUCCUAUUGAUUCUACAUUUUUUAUUUUAUUUUCUAACAUGAUUACAAGUGACAUUGUUAGAGCCCUCCUAUUUGAUUAUAUACAGUAUAAUAUAUGGAAAAUUAUUAGUCAAAUGUCACAAUAUAGUGUGAAGACCCAAAUCGAUAUUAUUAUGGCUGCAUUUACAUUGCAUAGUUAUAUUCACAUGAACUCAACUAAUUAUCUUGUCUUUAAUAAGUUAGAGCAACAUUAAGAUUAUAUGAUGAACAUGGAAAUAGUAAUAUCAAUUGUGAAACUUCGAAUGAGACAAAUUCUAGAAAGAUGGGAGAAUGUAACAAGAUUUCGCACUUAUUAUGAGAGUCAAUGAUAUAAAUUAUUUUCUUUCAGAAUCUUUUCUGAUGAAAUUAUUUUCAGCUGAAAUUUCUUGUGAUGUAUACAUUAUUCUUACAUUUAAUUGUUAGAUGAAAAUAUGAAAUAUUUUCAUAUUAUAUCUUUUAAUGAUACAUAGUGUCUAUUGUGAUACAAUAUUAUAAACUUAUAUAUCUUAAUUGCAUUUUUGAAAAUAAAUAUUCAAAACAAAAAAUAUAUAUUAAAAUAAAACAAACAAAUAAAUAAAAUAUUACUUAUCCAAUUAUAACCAAAAUAUAAAAAAUAAAUGACUAUUCUAAAUUAUCUACAUAUUUAAUUACUUCAAUUAAUAAAUAACAAAAUAAAUAAUCAAUAAAUAAUGUGUUUCCUUUUUUAAAAUUUCACUUAGAUAUAAAAUUUAUUUUAUCAAACAACUAUAAUUUAAUAAGCUACCUUUAUUGUUACGAGCUUCCGGCUAUCUUCACAACUAUGAUCUUCUAACUACUUUCAUAGUUACAAACUCACAGUACAAGUUCACAACUAAAAACUAGUUUUUAUAAACAAAGUCUAAACAGUAUAAAUCAUUGAGUGAACCAUUAAACAAGUAUCUCAAUAUUCUAAAUAUAUAUUAAUUAAAACAAAAUUUAUUUUAACCAUUCACACACUUGAAUGAUUAGUCUUAUGUGGUUAGAAACAAUCUUAAAACUGUGAUUAAAUAUUGGAACGAAGUUUAGGUAUUAAUCUUUAAGGAAGAUGAUGGACUAACAAAAUAUCACUAGUGGUUGUUGUAAUGGACUCUCUCUAGAUAAUUGUAAGAAUGAGAUUGCAAGAGAGGGGUGAAUUAGUUGACUUGGAAAUUAUGACCAUUUUUUCUGCAUUAUCAAGAGUUAAGAGCAGCGAAAAUAAUUUUCAAAAAAUAACAAGUAAAUAAUUGAAAAGAUAAAGGGAGAAGAGAGUACACCAGAAUUUUAUACUAGUUCACAUUCGCAUACAAGGCCGAAGCUUGCAAUGCUCCCCUGAUACGGUAUGUUACAUCAUAAUGAACUCAUGGUUUUCAAAUCCAAAGUAAUGUCUUUUCCUUUUACAUAGGAAGUAAGACGGUUUUUCCUAAAGUUCAUGUUACAAUAAAAUACUCUAAUCAGUUUAGGUAGCUUUCAUUCGAUUCACAACAGAAAUCGAAAAGGUUUUGUUGUCUAAAGAGAUAAGGAAAUAGAAAAUCUUCAAACUCAAAAUUCUCGAGAUUACCGUAUUUAUGAGUGAAGAUAAUGCGACCAUGGAAGUGUUCCUCAAAGAUUUUACAUUACUCAUUAUUUUCUAGAAGUCGUGUUAACCAUUCACACACUUGAAAUGAUUAGUCUUAUGUGGUUAGAAACAACCUUAAAAACUAUGAUUAAAUACUAGAACGAAGUUUAGGUAUUAAUCUUUAAGGAAGAUGAUGGACUAACAAAAUAUUACUAGUGGUUGUUGUAUUGGACUCUCUCUAGAUAACUAGAUUGUGGGGUUGCAUUGUUGAGAUGCUUGCCAAAACCAAAGUCUUGCCCUUUUUCUUCCUAGUUUCUUGUUGGAGUUAAUGUUACGUGUCAGCUUUUAAAUUAAAAAAAUGUUGCAUCGAAAGUGUGUAACUUUUAUAUAUUAUUACUCCAGCUUCUAUCAUAUAUGUUUUAUUAUUAUUAAUUUUUUUAAAAAUAAUACAAAUAAAUAGUGAAUUAAUUAAAGAGGGGGAUCGGUUUACACCCCAUUUGAGUUACACCAAUUACACUAAAUUUUAUCCCUCUAUUUUUUUAAAUCCAGCAGUCUAUAUUAUAACUUAAAAACCACCAAUACCUCUCUCAUCACCCUUUCAUUUACCUACUUUUAUUUUUUAUCUCCUAAUCUUAUUUGCUCUACCUCUCUCACCACCGUGAAAAAUAAAUCCAACCUAUCAUUCCCAAACUUUCUAUUCCUCCAUUGUCAAACCUUGUUGCAGCUCAUAUGCUAAACCCUUACGCCCAUAUGCACAAAAGGAACCACACAGCUAAUAACCCCAAUUGACCCAACCCUACCAUUGGUGGUUAUUCAAUUAGUUUUUUUUUUUGGAAUAAGGGUAUUGUUAUUUUGUUGUUAAGGUUGAUGUGCUUCAUAUUUUCUUUUUCAUUUUUCAUCACAAGUAGCUGGAAUUAUUAUGCAAGAAAUAAUGUUGGGUCUCUGUAUUUUAAGAAGUAGAAGCUAUAUGAAGCACAAUACAGGGAUAAUAUAUGCUUAUUAUGCAUUCACUUGCAAAGCCAUAGAAGAAUAAUGUUGGGUUUCUGCAUUAUGCAUUAUGAACAAAGUAGUUGGAAUUAUAUGCUUAUUAUGCACUCUUUUUGCAUUAUUCUUGUUGGCAGAGAUACAUCUCAAGAGGAUUCACUUGCAAUAGUUCAUUGAGGGCAAAAUCUUUUUCACACUUGAAUACCACACAUUUUGUGGAAGGGAUAUGUGUACUGAUAAAUUCCUAGUAUAUGUGGUAGUUGUUUAGGAAAAUGUUGCUCAUCAUCAAAUGAAAGUUUAGAAUACUUAUUUUAAGAUAAAUUUUACUCUAUAAAGUGUAUUAUGAGCCUUGUUAUACCUCCUACAAUCCUUAUAAAUAUAAAACAACAAAUGUUUUCCCAUACUUUUGUGUUGAGUUGAUGUACGAUAUCAAGGCUAACUAGUUGGUGUUCAUUUUAAAGGGCAUGAUCAAUACUCAUUCUUAUGUGGAACUCACAAGCUAGAAAGAUAUAGUGUUAUUAAACAUGAACAACUAUUUUGAUGAUAGAAGCUAAAUAAUUUACAACACUUCUACUAAUUAACCAAAAACCAAUUACAUAGAGUCGCAACUCACAUACACUAUUACUUGUACAUUUUGUCCAUUGCCUGUGUAUUUUUCCAAAACUGUUUGUAUGCUUAUUGUUUCCAAAACCAGUUACAUAGAAUCACAACACUAUUACUAGGCAAUUAUUAGAAAAAUGAGAAGUUCAUCUGCAUACAUGGUUUUUGUUAAUGAAGUAAUGUUGCUAGCAUAGCCAAAGUGAAAAGAAGUGUCCUACACCUAAAUGUAAACAAGUGCCCUGCAACUAAAUUUAAACAAGUGCACUGCACCUAAAUGUAAACAAGUGCACUGUAACUAAAUGUAUGUCUUGAUUAGUAUCAAAGUAAUUGGAUUAUUACAAUGCUAAAAACAUAUGAAAGUGAUAAUUUAAUAAAAAUGUAUUAUAAUUUCAACAAUAAUCAAAUCAAAAUACAUAUUGUACUUGUUCCUUGGAGUUUUACUAUAAAUUUCAAUCUAACAAACCACUUAAUCUAUUGACCACCUAUCAAUCUAACAAAACAUUUGCUCCCAUUUGUGAGCAACUUUAGAGCUUCCAGAUGCAAAAAUUAGUUUCAACUUAAUCAUCUGAGGAGCUCUAGCUCCGUUCUACACCUGUUACUAUCACCAAUAAUAAAAAUAAAUAUCUUUUGAUAAAACAAUGAACUCAUAUAAAAAUAUAUAUAAUAUAACAUAAGCAAAAAAAAUGUUACAUUAAAUAUAUAUAUAACAUAACUAUCACCAUAUCAUCUUUAUUUUUUUCAUUCUUCACCUUAUGUUCACCUUCUCGAACACACAUAAAAAUACAAUAAUUAUCUUUUCUAGAACGAGUAUGAAUCCCAAACCCCUUUGUUUUAGCAAAUAUGAUAUAAAAUUCUUCAACUUGUUGUAGAGAAUCAAAUCUCAUUCCAAUAUGAGGGUUAACAUUGAAUUCCCCAAUAGUAGGAGAUUGUAUCAUAUUAGAUAAGUCAGAAUGAGUUACCUGACUAUUAUCUGAAAUGAGGUCACUCUCCAUAUUCAUUUUUCAUGAUGAUGACAAUGGCAUGAGUGAGUCUUCUCCAAUUUAGAAUGAAGAACAUUGGAUUUGGGAAUACUAUUCAACCUGCACUACUAAUGGAGGGAUGAGUUGGAUUUGGAAUGAUAGGUUGUUUUAGGUUUGACUAUGGAGGAAUAGAAAUUUGUUGGGAAUGAUAGGUUGGAUUUAGCAAUUUGGGAAUUUGUGCUUCAUAUGGCUUCCAUCACUUCUUAAAAUGCAUAGACCCAACAUUAUUUCUUGCAUAAUAAUUUCAGCUACUUGUGAUGAAAAAUGAAAAAGAAAAUAUGAAACACGUCAACCUUAACAUCAAAAUAGCAAUACCCUUAUUCCAAAAAAAAACUAAUUGAAUAACCACCAAUGGUAUGGUCAGGUAAAUUGGGGUUAUUAGCUUUGUGGUCCUCUUUGUGCAUAUGGGUGUGAGGGUUUAGCAUAUGAGCUGCAACAAGGUUUGACAAUGGAGGAAUAGAAAGUUUGGGAAUGAUAUGUUGAAUUUAUUUUUCAUGGUGGUGAGAGUGGUAGAUCAAAUAGGAUUAGGAGAUAAAAAAUAAAAGUGGGUAAAUGAAAUGGUAAUGAGAGAGGUAUUGAUGAUUUUUAAGUUAUAAUAUAGACCGUUGGAUUUAAAAAAAUAGAGGGAUAAGAUUUAGUGUAACUGGUAUAACUCAAAUGGGGUGUAAACUGAUCCCCUCUUAAUUAUAUAUAUAUAAAUCUUUAUAAUUGGAUACUUAUUACAAUCUUUUAACAUAUAUGACGCUAGCAAGUGUUUAGAGCGAGAGAACCAUAAAGAUAAGGUGUGAUAUGUAUGGUGCUAGCAAGUCACAAGUGUUUAGACUUUUAGACAAUAAACUAUUUAAAGUCUUCACAAAAGGUCAUACUCUUUAAUUUAAUCUAUUCAUUGGCGGUAGUUAAUUAAAAUUUGAGGGAGAAAACUAUGAAUUACAGUGUAAAAAAAAUUAUAUUAUUUGUAUUUUAUUAUUAAUAAAAGUAAUAUACAAAGGAUAUAUGAUUUAUUAAUAAUGUAAAAAACUCUACAUUUAUAAUACAUAUAAAUUCAUUUCUUUAAAAUAUUUAUUGAAAUAAUAAAUAAAUGUAAAUAAGUAUAUGAUAUAAUAAAUAAUUAAAAUGAUUUAUAUCAAGUAUAAUAAAAUAGUAUAUAUCAUCAUCUCACAAUUUUGUUGGAAACAUUUGUACUCAAUGAAAAUAAUUGGAUAGAUGAUUUUAUAUAAAAGAAACUAACAUGUAUUUGUUUCCAUUUUAAGAAAAAAGAGUUAUUCUUCAUAUUUUUAUUAGGGAGAUGAUCUACUUACUCUAAUAGUAAGUUUUUAAAACUUACUUCCUAUCAUAACCAUCAAUUUUAGAUAAAUUUAAUGGUUUAAGUUAGUGAGUAGAACUAAAUCAUUAGAUUUCCUUAUAAUUGAUGAUUAUGAUAUGGAGUAAGUUUAAAAAUUUUACUUUAAGUGAAUCCCACUAUUUCUUUACUAUAAUAAAUACAUAAAUAUAGUUAGUGUUGGAUAAAUGAUAUCUACUAAGGACAUUAGGUAUUAUCAAGAUAGAUAUCUCUUUUUGUUGAGACUUCUAUUUAAUAUAGGCAAAAUUGUCAUUACAUUUUGUUGUUAAAAAAUAAUUCAACCAAAAAUUAUGUAUAGUAUAUUAAUGAAAAAUAUAGCACUUUACUUAUGUCUUUAGUUAGGUUAGGGAUAAUUUAGUCAUUGCAUAUAAAUUUGAGUAUACUUUUCUACAUUUUAUAUAUUUUUGAAAUAAUUCUCACCUCAUCUAUAUCCUAAAAGGCUGGAACUUUUUUUUCUCAAUCUAAGUGAUCAUUCACAAUCUUCAUCUCAGAUUUAUUCUCAAACUCAUAAAAAUUGUAAGAGCUAAGCCAAUAAUAACCUUUCCUGUUUUUUUGUGUCUAAAUUUUUAAUAAGAUUUCAAAAAAUCAAUUUUCAUAUUUGGUUUCUUAUAUUGCAAUUUUAUAACGUGUUAUAUUGUAAACUCUAUCUGAAAAGAAAAAAUGGUAAGUAUUGAGUAAGUAAUCAUUUUUCUACUUUUUGGUGUCUAAUGUUUGAUAAGGAUUUCAAAAGGUUUCAACUUUUAUCUUUGAUUUCUUAUAUUGCAAUUUUAAGCUAUAUUAUUCCUCUAAUUAUAUUCCAUUCUGUUUCUUCAGUGUUCUUCUCUACAAAGUUGCAUCUGGUAUUGUAAACUCCAUCUGGGAGAAAUGGUAAGUGCUAAACAAAUAAGCAUUUCUACUGCUUUUUUAUAUCUAAUUUUUAAUAGAAUUUUAAAAAGUUUUGAUUUUUAUAUUUGAUUUCUUAUAUUGCAAUUUUUGUAGUUAUAUUAUUUUCUCUAAUUCUACUUCAUUUUGUUUCUUUAGUGUUAUUCCUUAUGCAACAACUUUUGAUAUUUUAAACUCUCUGGAAAGGAAAAAAUCGCAAGCACUAAACAAAUAAUCAAUUUUUUCUAUUUUUUGUGUUUAAUUUUUAAUAAGAUUAGAAAAGGUUUUAAUUUUUAUCUUCGAUUUCUUAUAUUGCAAUUUUUAAGCUCUAUUGUUUUCCUAAGUAUGUUUCAUUUUGUUUUCUAUAUGUCCUUGACGUUUAAGACUCACCUAAAGUUAAUUUGACACAUAAAUUUAUACAAAUUUGAAUUUUCCAAAUUAAAUUCAAUGUGUAAUUUUGUUCAAAAAAAAUUGGGCACGAAACUCCCAAGAGGCUAUACAUGAAAAGAAAACGAGAAUAAAUGGAGAUAGGAAUAUAUUUACUAAGAAUUGAAACAAGAUACUCACAUUAUUUUUAUUAAGAAUGUAAUAUUUAUGUAUUGACAAUAUAAAUAUUUAUACAUAUUUGAUGUAUUAUUCAUUAUUCAUUUAUUUUAUUUUUAUUUAAGAAUUAAUAAUAAUUGAAAAUAAAUGUUGGAUAAUAUAGUGACAAUAUAAAAUUUUCUGUCUUGCUAACUGAUUUGUCUAGUUGAUAUUUUUGUCUCUUUAUUAUUACAGAUUGUCACCAUAGGAUAGUUGAUAUUUUGUCUCUUUAUUAUCACAUGUAAUUCCAUUUCAAGUACCAUGUCUCAACUAAACUGUACUUAUUAUUAUAAUAACACAAUACUUCUCAUUAACAAACACAAAUGAGUUAAUUUAUUUGAGCCUCGCAGAUCGUAGUACGGAUCGGCUGUUUUCAAUAAGUUUUGGUCCAUUAACAUCUUAAUUUGAGUGUAAUUUAUAUUUGUGUAAGAAUUUAUAUAUAUUUACUAUAUUAUUCGUCAUUUAUUUAUAUUAUAUUUUUUAAUAGUAAACUUAGUGUAUACAUUAUUUUUUCUUUUUACGUUUUUGAAUAGUAAACUUAGUGUAUACAUUAUUUUUUAUUUUUACGUUUUUGACGAGUAAACAAUAGUUAAAUAUGAAUAGUAAAUAAUGUAAUAAUAGUGAAUAAAAUUCAUAUACUAUCAGUGUAUAUAUCAUUUUCUCUUUUAGUUUCCCAUUUUUAUUUAAUGUCAUAAUAAAUAUGAAAAAGCGAAAAGAUGCAUAAUACACUAUAGUGUAUAAGUUUAAACUGUUUGAUACACUGUUACUAUAUUAUCUAUCCUUCAUUUUUAAUUAUUAUUGAGUUUUUUAAAAAAGUGUAUAUGAUACACUAAUUAUGUUCAUAGAUAUAACACUCUAUGAAAAAUAGUCUUUCUAUGUGUGAUAUCUCCAAUUUUGGCCUCUAACCUUUUUCUUUUGUGGAUAAUUGUUCUCCAUGUAUUUAUGUGCAGAGUUCAUCAGCUAAUUUAUAUGACUCCCUGAAAAUCAUUUUCCUUUCGAUCUAUCUAAUAAAAAUCGAAUAACUUAUAUAUUGAUAAACUUAUAUUCCACAAUUAAGUAUGAGUAAAUGUUAAUUUAUGAACGCAAGUGAUAAACCAGUGCUUGCUCAUAAAAAAGAAGACGAUCGAUAAAAGAAAUGAGACAAUGACAUUAUAUUGAUCAUAAAAUCGUAACUUUUCCUCAUUUUCUAAAUUGUAAUUUAUCUAAUGAUAAUCUAAUCUAAGUUAUAACUAGGCUAACCUGAUAAUAUAGUUUUAUUAAACGAAUAAAAAUGAGUUUUUAAAUAAUUAUUUAAUUUUUAUUAAUUGAUUAUUUACAAUUUUAUUUUCUUAAUUGAAUAUAUUUUUAUGAAUGCCUAAUUUUAUUAAAAUAAUAAUAUGUGGAUGAAUUUGGAACAAUUAAAUAGAUAAAGACUAAAAUUGUAUUUUAUAAUUCUAUGUGACACAUAGUAAUAAUAUGGGUAAUGUCACAUCAGAUUGUCAUUGCUUAAGAUGUGUUUCUACUCGGCGAACCGAAGAGUCCCAUGCUUGGUCGCCGAGGUAGGCCCCGCGUGUUGGGACCACCAGAGUUGACCUAAGAGACAGGGUUCACAGCCAGCAAGGCCUUCAACACAAGGUUCAUAGCCAGCAAGGAGCAACCAAGGUCAUCAUACACACUGUCUGGCAUUCGCCAGGGAUCCAAUGAAUCCAUCCGGGCAUACCUAGAUCGGUUUAAUACCGAGGCCAUGAAGGUGCGCACCCUAAGCCCCGAAGUAGCAGUACAUGUCCUCGUUAUGGGACUUCAGGAAGGUCUUUUCCGCACAGAAUUGGCCAAAUACACCGACCUCACCAUGGAAGACCUCUGUUCCAAAGCCCAACAGUUCAUCAAUCUCGAAGAAACCCACCAUAUACACACCCGUACCGAACCCCAAACACAUCACCCCUCACGGGAAACCAAACGGCCAAGACCACACGACCUACCCCGCGACCUACCCUCACUAACCAAAAAAGCCAAAUCCUCCACNNNNNNNNNNNNNNNNNNNNNNNNNNNNNNNNNNNNNNNNNNNNNNNNNNNNNNNNNNNNNNNNNNNNNNNNNNNNNNNNNNNNNNNNNNNNNNNNNNNNAUACCGAGCCCCAAACACAUCACCCCUCACGGGAAACCAAACGGCCAAGACCACACGACCUACCCCGCGACCUACCCUCACUAACCACAAAGGCCAAAUACUCCACCUACACCCCCUGAACGCCAGCCGUUCACGAAUUCUGCAAGAAGUCCUCUCCACUCACCUCGUCCAACUUCCACGCCCCCACCCUACCAAGCCAGGCCCGCAAGACCGCUCCAAAUAUUGUGACUAUCACAGCAUGUUCGGCCACUUAACCAAUGACUGCACCCAGCUCCGGGAUACCAUCGAAGAUCUCAUACAGGCUGGUCAUCUACAACGGUUCAUCGCAGGCCUGGAGCAACGUCGGCGAUCACCACAACAUCGUCGACCAGAACCUCCAAGAAGACGGUCCCCCCCGCAAUUUCAACAACGGCGCCCUACCCCACGUCCUCAGGCGGAUAGGCAUCGAACAGACAACCGGAGGCCAAGGAGCCCAGUUGAUAUCAACACUAUCUCAGGAGGUUUUGCUGCCGGGGGUACCUCUAGGACUGCCCAGAAGAAAUAUGUACGGGAUGUAAUGCACGUCGCUGCCAGAAGCUCCCAGCAAAGACAGAACUACAGAUCCACUCCCCCCAUUACCUUCGACGACCGUGAUUAUGAAGGUGUUGUCCGAGGGCAUGAUGACCCCCUCGUCAUCACCGCUAAACUCAACAACAAAAAGGUUAGUCGCCUGUUCAUUGAUCAGGGUAGUUCGACUGACGUUAUUUUUCAGGAUCUAUUUGAAAAAAUGGAGCUCCGGGACCAUGACCUCCUACCUUAUGAAGGACAGCUGGUCGGGUUUUCCGGUCAGGGAAUCACUCCCAGGGGAUAUGUAGAGAUUUGGCUCACAGUCGGCGACCGCCCCAUGAGUAGGACUGUCCAAACAAAGUUCUUGGUCGUCCAGUGCUAUUCAGCAUACAACGCCAUAAUCGGCCGGCCAACUUUGAACAGGCUUGGAGCAAUCGUCUCUAUCCCCCAUCUGUGCAUGAAGUUCCUCUCGAUCACCCUCCAAGUCUGCAUAGUAAAAGGAGACCAACACUUGGCUCGCAGUUGCUACCAGAUAAGCCUCCGCCCCCACUUCAACAAACAGCACGCCCCCCUCCAAAAGACCUCAGGGCGUGCACAUGGUAGAAUUGGACGUCCGGGUGGACGAAGGAGACUUCCGACCACAACCAGAAGGGGAAAAAACAACUCUACAGUUGGGUCAAUCCCCAGGGUAGGUAGUGUACCUUGGCAGUUCCCUUCCGCCAAGCCAAAGGUUACGGCUGGAGACAUCUUUGAAGGCAAACCAGGACCUCUUCGCCUGGUCAGCAGCAGAUAUGACGGGCAUAGAUCCUUCAUUUGCCUGCCAUCGACUGACAACAAAACAAGGUGCUAAACCAGUGGCGCAAAGAAUGCGAAAAAUGGGGGCGGACAGGACCAAGGAAGUCGCUUUAAAAGUGGCCGAGUCGCUGGAGGCGGGUUUCAUCCGCGAAAUCACCUAGACCACGUGGUUGGAAAAUGUUGUGUUGGUAAAGAAACCAUCAGGGAAGUGGCGGAUGUGCGUGGACUACACAGACCUCAAUAAGGGAUGCCCUAAAGACCCUUAUCCUCUCCCAAACAUUGACCAUUUGGUGGAUAACUCUUCAGGAUACCAGUACCUGUCCUUCAUGGACGCAUACUCUCGUUACAAUCAGAUCCCGAUGUACCCUCUCGACCAAGAAAAAACUGCAUUCAUCACUGAUCAAGCCGCCUACUGCUACACUGUCAUGCCCUUUGGUUUGAAAAAUGCUGGGGCAACUUAUCAAAGGAUGAUGAGCAAGGUGUUCGCCGGCCAGACUGGAGAGCAAAUGGAGGUCAACAUGGAUGAUAUGAUCGCCAAAAGCCUCCCCGACGAAGAUCAUGUAGAAAAGCCUUCCCGGCGAAGAUCAAGUAUCCAUUUUGGAAAGCAUUUUUCGGCAACUCCGCAAAUACAACAUGCGGCUAAACUCCAAAAAAUGGACUUUCGGAGUGGAGGCGGGCAAAUUCCUCGGUUUUCUUCUGACCAGCCGAGGGGUCGAAGCAAAUCCAUCCAAAUGCCAGGCAAUCAUCAACAUGAGAAGCCCCUGCACGGUCAAGGAGGUCCAACAACUAAAUGGGCGACUAGCUGCGCUAUCCAGGUUUCUCCCAUCCGCUGCAAAGCAUUCACUUCCUUUAUUCCAGUUAUUGAAGAAGAGCAAGAAGUUUGAAUGGUUUGAGAGUUGCGAAGAGGUGUUCAACACUUUCAAGCAAUAUUUGGUCGCCCCGCCUAUUCUCUCCAAGCCAUUACCUGACAAAAUCCUGUAUGUAUACCUGACCGUGUCUGACGGAGCAGUAGCGACCGUACUGAUACGAGAAACGACAAAAGGUCAAAACCCGGUCUAUUUCACAAGCAAGGCCCUGCAAGGCCCGAAAUUAAGGUAUCAGAAGCUGGAAAAAGUGGCAUAUGCGUUGUUGGUCGCCACACGAAGAUUACGCCAGUACUUCCAAUCUCAUACAACAAUCGUCAGAAGUAAUCAGCCAAUCAGGCAAAUUUUGCAUAAGCCAGAGUUGGUCGGGUGGAUGAUCACAUGGUCAAUAGAACUCUCCCAAUUUGACAUCCGUUUCGAACCUCGCACGACCAUCAAGAGCCAAGUCCUAUCUGACUUCGUGGCCGAGCUAGCCGCACCAGAGGGCGAUCCAGAGCAGGUAUGGACUACCUUCGUCGAUGGAUCUUCUAACCCGAGAGGCAGCAGGGCUGGAAUUCUUCUGGAAGAUGGGCAAGGAGUAACCAUUGAACAUUCCCUUACUUUCACAUUUCCAACAUCCAACAACCAGGCAGAGUAUGAGGCGUGCAUCGCCGGACUACAGCUAGCAAGAGAAGUGGGCGCCCAUAAGGUAUUAAUUUGCAGCGAUUCUCAAUUACCCGUAUCUCAAGUUUCAGGUGCAUAUCAAACCAAGGACGCCCUCCUCGGAAAAUAUAUGCUCAAAGUGAAAGAGCUCAUGGCCGACUUCGAUGAAGCGACCAUUCAACAUGUACCCCGAGAAAGCAACGCCCGAGCAGAUAUCUUGUCCAAAAUCGCCAGCACCAAAUGCCUCGGGAACAAUCGGUCCGUCGUCCAAGGAACAGUCUACCACCUAAGUGUCAUGACAGUGGAACGGGUAGAGAUCCCAGACGACUAGAUGGGCCCUUUCAUCUGAUACAUCCUCCAUGGCACCAUACCUCCCGACAUGAGGGAAAAGCAACGGUUCCUCAGGUGUUCCUCUUGGUACAUCCUGCUCCGGGGAACACUGUAUCGACGAGGAUUCACCGCCCCCUUGCUCAAAUGCCUUGGUCCAGAGCGGGCGGAUUACGUCCUCAGAGAGGUUCACGAGGGAAGUUGUGGGCAUCAUUUGGGCGCCGCCUCACUUGCUAAGAAGGUGUUUCGUGCUGGGUACUACUGGCCCACAAUGGAAAAGGACGCGGCCGACCUCACUCGAAAAUGCACUCGUUGCCAACUUUUCACCGAUUUCCACAAAGCCCCACUAGAAGAACUAACCACAACACAAACGCCUUGGCCUUUCUGUAGGUGGGGUGUGGACAUCCUGGGGCCUUUCCCUCAAGCAGCGGGGCAACUGAAAUUUUUGACUGUCGCCAUAGAUUACUUCACUAAAUGGAUAGAAGCGGAAGCAUUGGCUACUAUUACCUCAGCAAACAUCCAGAAGUUCACCUGGCGAAGCAUAAUCACUCGUUUCGGCAUCCCUCCGCCAUAGUGACGGAACGGAAACCAGUUUGCCGAUCGAAGAUUCCAAGAAUUGUUACCAGGCCUUCAUAUCAAACAACACUUCACUUCAGUAGAACAUCCACAGACUAACGGACAGGUCGAAGCAGCAAACAAGGUCAUCCUGAAAGGGCUAAAGAAAAGGCUAGACGAGUCAAAGGCAAACUGGCCAGAUCAACUCCAUCACGUGUUGUGGGCAUAUCGAACCACUCCACACUCUACGACCGGCGAGUCACCAUUUAACUUAACAUACGGCGCAGAGGCCAUGAUCCCAAUCGAGAUAGGAGAACCUACUUGGCGAACAAUUCAAUUCAACAAGGGCGAUAAUCAAUCCCUCCUCAGAAACAACCUCGAUGAAGUGGAAGAAAUCCGAGAAAAGGCCCGUCUCAGAGAAGAAAACAUCAAAAAGAAAACUGCGGCGAAAUUCAACUCUUCAGUCGUUCCCCGCCAAUUUCCCGAAGGAACUCUAGUAUUAAGGAGAGCAGACAUAGGACGGGUGAAAGGCAAGUUAGGACCUAAUUGGGAGGGGCCUUACCGCGUCAUCAGCAAGAUCGGCAAAGGAGCAUACAAGCUUCAAGACUUAGCAGGAAAAAACAUCCCCAGAACUUGGAACACCGCCAACCUCCGAAUAUUUUAUGCCUAACCGACAACCCCAUGCGCGGUUGGUCGUUUCUUUUGUAAUAUUUUCCAAUUAUAUAUAUGAUUGAGAUAUUAUGCUCUGCAACUGUCUUGAUGAAUCAUUUCCCAGCCCUGAAUUUUUACUUUCACCCAAGGGGCUGGUCUUCGCCCCCCUUGCCUGGUGCAGUCUCCAUGAUUUUUACUUUCACCCAAGGUUCUGGUCUUCGCCCCCCUUGCCUGGUGCAAACUAUGGUUUUUACCUACACCCAAGGGGCCGGUCUUCGCCCCCCUUGCCUGGUGCGGUCUCUAUGAUUUCUACCUACACCCAAGGGGUCGGUCUUCGCCCCCUUGCCUGGUGCGGUCGCUAUGAUUUUUACUUUCACCCAAGGGGCUGGUCUUCGCCCCCCUUGCCUGGUGCAAACUCGAUGAUUUUUACUUACACCCAAGGGGCCGGUCUUCGCCCCCCUUGCCUGGUGCGGUCCCUAUGAUUUUUACUUUCACCCAAGGGGCUGGUCUUCGCCCCCCUUGCAUGGUGCAAACUCUAUGGUUUUUACCUACACCCAAGGGGUCGGUCUUCGCCCCCCUUGCCUGGUGCAGUCUCCAUGAUUUUCACCUACACCCAAGGGGCCGGUCUUCCCCCCCUUUGCCUGGUGCAAACUCUAUGGUUUUCACUUCCACCCAAGGGGCUGGUCCUCGCCCACUUAUUGGUUUUCUAUAGUCACUAAGAGACCGUUUUGCAUUGACCUUCGCCUGACUGAAGGCGUUCAAAUUCAGAACCAAAUCUAUCACGUUCAAAUUAUCCAGAAACACAUCGUCCAAUUGUUAUACGGAAUUACACAUAAGAAUUUAAUAAAGGAGAUAAGUGUAAAAAAUAUUCAUUAAGAGGAAAACAAGUUACAGGGCAAUUAGAAAGGAACAAAAUUACAAGGUACUUAAAAAUAAAAAUUACAAGGGCCCCCAUCCUGGCCAGGAAAAGACAUCAAAACCGGCUCACCGUCGUCACCCCCCACUAGUAGGCGCCCGUCUUCAACAUAGGCCCCCAGCUGAAUCCAAGACCAGUCUUUGUCUGGGAACGCCAGAGCUAGUUGGGACUAGGCACUCUCCCAAGCAUCCGCCGCGGCCUCACCCACAGCCUGCUCCAGCUGCUCUUUCUCAGUCUCAACGGCCGCCCGGCCCUCCUCCAAUGCCCGCACCCGAGCCUCCCAAGACACCUUCUCUUCCCCUAAUGUCUGCACCUGCCCUAGAAGUGCAGCCCUUUCUCGCUUGGUGGCCUCAACACGGGUUUUCCAAGCUACGGACUCCCUUUCUCGCCGGCGAAGCGCUUCAUCUUUGGCACGGACAAUCCCUUCUGAUUCCAUCACCUGGGCGGUCAGUUUCACCUUGUCGCUUUCCAAAAACCCCACACGAGCAGAUAGAUCCGCCGCCUGGGCCUUGGUGACCUCACCCAGUCUGAUCAGCUCCGCAUUCUCAGCAGCAUGAAUAUCAGCCAUUUUCUGCUUCUCCGCCUCAUGCGCAGCCCAGAGUUUCGCCGUCGCCGCAUCCGCCAUUCGUGACUCCAAAACCCCGUCCACCUCCAGAUACUUCUGGAUAGAAGCAAUAAAAACGACACUUCCUUUCACAUUUUGCAGAAGGACGGACAGAGGUAACUUGUCGAAAGUCUCCUUGGCAUGGGCAUUGAGGAGCGCCUGCUCAAUAACCCUAUGGACACUAACAGGGGAAAUGCGGUUCUGACUCCCCGUGGCACCUUUCUUCCUAGUUGACUCAGAUGAACGACCAACAUCCUCUCCAGCUGUCUGCCCAGAGGAAGGGGGCGCCGAAGUACCGGCUUCGUCCCCAGUUAAUGCGGGCGGAGGGAUUCCAGCAGGUUCAGCGGGAAGAACUGCUUCAGUUGGCACGACAGGAGGCAUUUCAGGAGCACUAUGGACCAGCUCUUGUUCCACCAAAUUCUGAGGCGACCCCCCACUCUCUGAAGAGGGCAGCGUAUCUGUCUGGCUGAGAGACCCAUCAGUAGGACAGGGGAUGGGGGAUGACGUUCUCUGACGCUUAGAAGAAGCAGCAUCUUUUUUAACCAAGGCGGCAGUUCUUUUCAAAAGCAGACUCUUCCUCAGCUUCUCACUCAUCUUGGCCUUUAGUUUGACUGCACAAAAAAGAAGAAAAACUUUAAUAACAGGAUAAGCAAAGGCAUACAAGCAAAGCAGUAAAGAAGUUGAAAUCCGGUCCCCCCACCAACAAGGUCCACUAAAGCCCCGCCCCCAUCGUGAAUCGCUGAACAAGGAAGAAUUCCCCCCUCGUCAAUCCAGUAAGUUAUGAGUUCAGCAGCUUUCGCCUCUUCCGGAGAUAAGUCCCCGGUCUCCACCAAAAAGCCAUUGGAAGGGCGUUGAUGGAUGUCCCCCUUCCAAGAAAAGGGGAAUCGCGGCUUGCCGGAUUUGCUGAGGCACCAGUUAUUCCACGCCCGCCUGACGUUGACCUUGAAAUACCCGCCCAUCCAUUUCUUCUCGUUUGAAGAAAAUGGCGUGAGCAGCCCCCGUUUUGGCCGAGAUAUCAAACUCGUCCACCCAUGGCGCCCUUCCUUUUCUUCAUCGAAAUUGGUGCGAUGACCGACCCGGAACAUCCAGAAGAAUAGCUUUAGAGUACAAGGAAUGCCCGCCGCCUGGCACAUGAUCUCGAACGCCUGAAUAAACCCCACGAAUUUGGGGUCAGUUGGCUCGGUGCAAUCUGCAGAUGCACCAGAAUUUGAAUAUCCCACUCCUCGAGUGGGAGACGAAGCCCCAAGCGUCGGACGUACGCCUCGUACAGGAAGAAGGUGUACUUAUCUUUCCUCUCCUCGACGAAGUCAAAGCAGACCCUCUCCACUAACUUAGGAGCACUGGCCUCGAAACCAUGAAACGUUUCUUUGGCCACAGGUAGGCUGACGGAACUCCCAUAGGGGAACGUGCUAGGCGUCCCAAGCACUUCUCUGUCCACCCACCAGUAGCGGGAAUCCGCCCCGACCAACUCCGCCAGAACAGACAGUUGUGGAGCCUUUGCCUUAUAUGUCCUCAUCGUCAUGAACCUGCCAUCACAAGAGUCAUCAGACUCAGACCCUGACUCAGACUCAGACUCGGAACUGUCGCUCAAAUUGAGCUCAUACUUGGCACGCAGUGAGGCCAGAUAAUCAUCGGCGCCCCUCCAGUGAAACCCUGCACCUCCACCUUUGGGAGGAGGAAGGACAACGCUCAACGGUUCAAGAACCUCCACCAAUGCGUAAGACGAAGGUGGCAAUUUUUGGAAACACGGGGGAGGUCCAGGAAGGAUCUCCACGUCGGAAUCAGACUCGUAAUCACAAAUGAAAACCAUGAAGAAUAGAAUGUUACCUGGGUUUUUUGAAGGAGUCGGAAUUAGGAAGAAUCCAAAAGAAGAUCACGCUGGAAGCAAGAAGUCGCAGAAAGAAUUCAAGGGUUUUUUGAAAAUACGUAAAAGAGGAAAUGUCACAAGACCCUCUAUUUAUAGAGAAACCUGGACCAUGGGCCAAAUUACCAGGCCCAUCCAUAUCCUCAUCAGAACCGUAGAAAAACACUCAAGUGCAAUCCAAUCGAAACCCGAGAAACAAGGAAAAUUCGGCGGAAACCAAAGGUCGUGCCACGUGCUGGCAGUUAAGUGACCAGCGGUCACUCCCAAGACACAAUAAAGUUCGGCGGACAUUAAGGGUCACAGUAGAUAAUGAUGAAACGUCCCACUCCAGCUGAUACACUACCCAAGGUCAUUAAUACCUACCACGUGGCGCGAGGAACUAAGGAAACACGUCAUAAAGCCUCAAAGAAACACCAAGCUGCUCAAGAUAGAUCCAUACGCCCAGCUGGACAAUCACCAAGUCUAGAAGCGUCCAUAACAGACCUCGCCCGGCGCCCUGGCCAACUCAAUCAACGUCCUUUCAAUAUCAGGUCGCCAAACCUCAUACGGUCAGACCGCCCUGAAGAAGGUACAGCCUCCCGACAUGCUCGCCCAACGUAGUCACAAACUUGGUCGCCAGGGUGGAUCCCACACCCAAAUCAAACGAAGCUCGUAUAGAGUCUCCCAACAUCCUGGCAGACUGGGGGCAACUGUUCCUACCCGGUGAACCGAAGAGUCCCACGCUUGGUCGCCGAGGUAGGCCCCGCGUGUUGGGACCACCAGAGUUGACGUAAGAGACGGCAUGCCUUCCGUACCUCACCAACCCACCUGCCAGCACAGUAGACAGGCUGUAGAACGGCUACCAAACCAACUACAGGCUAGAAGACAAGAAUGACACAGUGUACGGUCCUGGCAGACCGCCUGACACGGGAAAAACAACUCCCGACAACACCUUUGGUCGGCCACGUGUCGCACCACCAGCCAAGAACCCAAUGUCAACUCUCCCUUCUAUAAAUAGGGAUCUCUACCAACAGGAAGUAUCUUAAUCUCUUCACUCUUUAACAUUACUCAUUCUAUUGUUGUUUGUCUUCAUUAUUCUCACACUCCCAUUCACUGAGUUCAUACACUGACUUGAUCGUCGGAGAACCUUUUCAUGUACCUCCACCGGCGGGUCCAACUCUCCUACUUCAUCCUGCUACUUUGACGACUAUCCCCUUCUCCUUCCUCAGCAGCUGAUCAACCAUUGUCCGUACCUUUGUGUUCUAGUAAAGAACAAGAUGUUAUUGUGGGAAUAUUUGUAUUAACCUUGUUGAGAGAUAAUCAUUUUUGUAUAAUUAUAUAAAAUUGAGGAAUUAAUAAAGUGUUGGUCUAGUGGUAAGACUCCAUUAAAUUUAUAAGAUGAUUAAAAUGUUAAAUAUUCAAUUCAUGUAAGUGAUAUUUGUUAUAAAAGAUAGUCAUAUACUUCAAAAGAGAUUAAUUAUUUACCUAAAAUCGGUAGUACAUAAAAAAAAUAUAAAAUUGAGGAUGAGAAGAAUACGUAAAAAAUAUUGGAAAAGUUAUGUACAAAAGAAAAAUGUGUAAGGAAAACUUCACUUUAUAAUUAUGGGUAUCAUUUAGGAAUGACACGUUAGCCAAAUCCGACUCAUAGGAUAUACUAUUGUCAUUUAGGAAUGACACUUUAUAGAAAAUUACUACUUUAUACAUUUGGUAAGUUUGAGGAUGAAAAUCAAAGAAUUAAAAUCACACAAUUUAAAAAUUAAAAGAAUAAAACUACAUUUUAACCAUUAACUUGUCAGCUUUUUCUUACACAAAUCUAUUUGUCAUUUCAGCAAUGUGGUGGGUGGACCCGUUUAUAUCCAUCCCCAUAAAAAGUGGCUCACUUUUAAACUUUUUUCGAUUCAGAUUCUUCAGCCUAUUUGAUAUUUCACGUGUCAGUUUGUGUAUUAAAAAGGCUAACAUCUUAUAAAAAUAGAAGAGAUAAAAAUCAUAUACCCAUAUACAAAAAAGUCUUAAAAGUAAUAAUACAUUAGUAUAAUAAGAUAAGGCUGCACUAUAAUAGGCACUCAAGAACCCAAACAAAAUUAGUUUAUUAUAAAUAAAAAAAGUAUAAUCAUGUGUAAAGUGUUUUAAAGUUAAGUCAGGAUAGAAGUAAUUAUCAUCAUAAUUUAUGGAAAUCAAAUCAAAUUUAUAUAACAUAUUAAUAAUAUGUGUAGUAUGUUAAUUUUUUUAAUAUAUAGGCAUAUGUAAAAGUACCAAUUGACUUAUAAUCUUAUUUAAAAUUAUAUUGUAUUAUAAUAUGUUAGAAUUAGUCAAUAACAAGUUUGCUUUUAAAAAGAUUUAUUGAAAGUUGACAAUUGUUUUUAUAUAUUUUGUAUUAAAGUUCAUAUAUAAUAAUAAUAUUUAUAUUAAAAAUAGUAUCAUAUUAAUAUAUGGUAGUAUUAAAUAGAUUAUCUUAUUAUGCCUUUUUUUAUCUGUUCAAAGUCUAACCUAUUAAUUAAAUAGACUUUUCUGAAGGUAAAUACGAGCUUAUAAACAGAUUUAAUGUAUUUUCAUCCGUUUUAUUUUACGUGACCAAUCUUUUUUUAUACUAAUAAGAGUAUCUCUUAUCCUUCUGAGUAUAACUAUCCAUCCCGACAAAUGUUGUUCCGAAGAAUUGAACAUUCAAUUUUUUGAUAAUCUUAAGGAUUUGAUGAAUUAUUAUACUGUUAGACCAAUAUAGUUGGUAGUGACCAAUCUUUUAUUCUAUGGUUAAUUAUUAUUUCAUUUUUCAUAAAUAGAAAAAAAUAUCUAUUAAAAAUUGAUGAAACUGAAAGGGUAUUAUUUUUUUCCAUAAAUUUUAAAAUAUCUAUAAUUCAUGCCUCUCUUCUGGUGUUUGUGUGUCAUAGCGACAGAAGAAGGGACAAAAUCCAUUUAUCUAAUCACUGGAAAACAAAGAACAACGACAAAUAAACCAAAAAAUAUUUCAUUUCAUAAUAUAGAAAAAAAUAUCUAUAUAAAAAGGUUGCAGAAAAUGAAAGAGUAUUUUAUAUUUUGCCAUAAAUAUUAAAGGAUCAUUCAUCUCUCUCUUCCUCUCCUUGGUUUAUGUAAUAAUAAUCAACGUAAAACAAAGAACAAGGAUAACUGAAGCAAAAUUCUGAGGAAAAUGAGUGGUUCUUCACAGUUAGAACUAGAUGAUCCUGAUUUUGUUGAAGUUGAUCCAACUGGAAGAUAUGGCAGAGUAUAUACCCUCUAUCUUACUUUUUCUCUUUUCAAUUUCUUCCUCUCUAUCCAUCGCUUACUUGCAUGAUGUUUUUUUUUGUAAUUGUUUGUUGCAGUACAAUGAAAUUCUUGGCAAAGGAUCUUCAAAGAUAGUGUAUGAUUCCAAACUCAUGAUACCCAUUUCUUAAUUUUAUUAAAUUUGAAAUCUUUUUGGUUAUUCCAGUUUAUUAUAAUGCUGGCCCAGUAUUGAUUUGCUAAGAAUUUGAGCUUUCUUUUGUUUUUGUUUGAGUUUGCAGAAAUGGGUAUUUGAGUUUGUGUUUUGUUUUUUUGUUUUGGGACAAUUUGGGUUUUUAAUUGGCGCAGAUAUAGAGCAUUUGAUGAGUAUCAAGGGAUUGAAGUUGCUUGGAAUCAGGUCAAGCUUUAUGAUUUCCUGCAAAGUCCUGAAGAUCUUGAGAGGCUUUACUGUGAAAUUCAUCUCCUGAAAACAUUGAAGCAUAGGAACAUUAUGAAAUUUUAUACAUCUUGGGUGGAUACUGCUAAUAGGAAUAUUAAUUUUGUGACUGAAAUGUUUACUUCUGGUACUCUUAGACAGUAAGUUUCUUUGAAGUUUCAACUAUUUCCCAUCAUCCACAUUGUAUCUGUUCAUUCUAGUUUUCGUACAAUUUAGAUCUUGUACUAUUUUAUACCUUUUUCACUUAUUUUAAUUACCAAAUUAUCAAAUAGGUAUCGGUUAAAGCACAAGAGAGUUCACAUCAGAGCAUUGAAGCAUUGGUGUAGACAGAUUUUGGAAGGACUUCUCUAUCUUCAUAGCCAUGACCCACUCGUGAUCCAUAGAGAUCUCAAAUGUGAUAACAUUUUUAUCAAUGGAAAUCAAGGAGAAGUGAAGAUUGGGGAUCUCGGCCUGGCUGCAAUCCUCCGGAAAUCACAUGCCGAUCAUUGUGUAGGUAUGUCAUUUCCGUAAAUAUCAUAUAAGAAGUUAUCAAGAAAAGAUGUGGCCAGCUGGAAUACUAAUAGUAAUUCGUUCAUUUAGCUGAUGCGUUGUUUUAAGAAUGACAGUUUAACGUAAGAGACUGUUAUAUUUCCGGCAUAGUUGUUGCUUUCAGUAUAACUGGAUAAUUGGACAAGGAUCAGUAAUUCUAGUUAGAGGUUUCAUCUGUGACAGUUUGGUUUCCACAGGAACACCUGAGUUUAUGGCCCCAGAAGUAUACCAAGAGGCAUAUAAUGAAUUAGUCGAUAUAUAUUCUUUUGGUAUGUGCAUAUUAGAGAUGGUCACAUUUGAUUAUCCUUACAGUGAGUGCACUCAUCCAGCUCAAAUCUACAAGAAAGUUAUCUCUGUAAGAUUGCUCUCUUUAGCUCAGUCUUUAUUAUGAUAAGGGAUUUUUAUAUAGUGGUGAGAUUUCAUUGCCAAGAUGGUGAACCAAGGUGCAACAGUAAGGUUGUUUGCCUUGUGACCUGGAGGUCAAAGUUCAAAUCCUAGAACUAGCUUCUUGGCUUGCGAGUAUAAGGUUGUGUACAUAUAUACUCUCCCAGACCCACUAGGUGGGAGCCUCAUGCAUUGGGCCAUCUUUUUUUAGUGAGAUUUCAUUGGCAUUUCAUAUCUCCAGGGGGCAAAACCAGAUGCUUUUUAUAAAGUGAAGGAUCCAGACGUGCGACAAUUUGUUGAGAAAUGCUUGACAACAGUUUCUCUAAGGCUCUCUGCAAAGGAGCUUCUAGAUGAUCCAUUUCUUCGAGAUGAUGAUUGCGAGUAUGAUUUGAGGCCCGUAAACAGUGAUGGAUUGGAUGACUUUGUUCCUCUUAUCGGACAGCCAUACUUUAAUCAGCAUCAAAGCUAUAGUAUAUUUAGUAAUGAUUACUCAAAUGGUUUUGGGUAUGAAGGAGACUGGAGUCCUCAUACAGCUGAGAUUGAAAAUUGUGGAAUUGAACCUUUCGAGCACAAUGGUGAUGAUGAUGAACCCUCUGAAGAGGUUGACAUAAGCAUCAAGGGUGAGAGGAAAGAUGACGAUGGCAUCUUUUUGAGACUAAGAAUUACUGAUAAAGAAGGUUGGGAUGCCACUUUUUUAUCAUGUCUGUACUUUAUACCUGGGAUUUGUGUAUUUUCGUUAUGCAUAACGGUCCGAAUUAAUUGUUUAUCACAGGUCAUAUUCGAAACAUUUAUUUCCCAUUUGACGUAGAGACAGACACAGCAAUAAGCGUGGCAACUGAAAUGGUUGCAGAACUUGACAUUACUGAUCAGGAUGUUACCAGUAUAGCAGUUAUGAUAGACGGGGAAAUUGCUUCCUUAGUACCUGAUUGGAAGCCGGGACCAGCAAUUGAGGACACCCAUUUUGCCAAUCAAGGUUUAUAUCAGAAUUGUGCGUCUAAUCACUCUCGUAAUGCCUCUGGGCUGAAUUUUCUUUCAAACAAUCCAGGUAGCAAGGACUUGCAAUCCGAAGAGAUCACGUUCCAAGCUGAGGAGUAUGGCAACCGGGUUAGAGAAGAUGUACUUAACUCAUCAAGCCAAUCAAAUUUCUCACAGUAUCAGGAUUGUUGGAGUCGGCAUGAAAGUUGUGAACUGAGUCAGGUAGAGUCUGAUCAAAGCCAUCAUCAUGAACCAUAUGGACAGUUUAACAAACCAGUAUCAGCUGAAGCCAGAGGACGAAGUGCUUUGGAAAAAAAAUUCACGCCCAAUGCAGGAAAAUCCUGGCCAAAAUCAGUAUCCCAAGAUUUCUCGGUUAUCCACUCUAUGUACCGUAGCUUGAGAAAGAGUAUUAUAAAGAUAUCCAAAGGGAACUGAGAUUUCUCAAGCAAAAUACCAGAUGGAGUUAAGGGAAAUUAUGGAUCAAAACUUUGGACUAACAGUUAAAUCUUCGUAUAGUAGUAACAGAAAACACAAAACAGAGUGCGGCUUUUUUGACACCUUCAGUGACAGAACUUGAACUGUGAUUUCAGUAGCUAUCCUCAUGUAGUCAUGUCCAUAAGAGCAGCCCGAAUUCGGAAACCCGAAUUGUGAGGCGACUGAAUCACAUGGAGAAAAAAGGUAUGGUUGCUGCAAACAGUUUUUGCACAGGACAGUUUCCUUGCCAGUUGAUGCUGCUGAUAUAUAACUUUGUGAUGGCCUCAUUGAAGAAUUAUUUUGUACAUUAUAUAUAAAAUUCUCACAUAGAGGCUAUCUGAUUUCUACAUCCCCAGACUUUUUUCUUCUAGGGAUAUCAAAUUGUGCACAAAGAAACCUUUAGCUACUAGCUAGAACCUCUUUCCUUUAUAAGUAUCACUUUUUUGGGACAAUGUUUGUUUACAAGUGUUUGUUUUCAAAAUUGAAGAAAUACUAAUUAUUCAUUUAUCAAUUAUACAAGUGUUUGUUUUCAUGAUUGAAGAAAUAAUAAUUAUUCAAUUAUACCAUGAGAAAAAAUAUAUGGAUCGUAAUAUCUAUAUCUUGUCAGCGUAAAGAUUUAUACAUAGUCAUCACAUACAUGAUCAAAUAUGAAUGUCGAAAUAUGCAAUAUAGGGCAUAAAAUUCAUACAUUGUCAAUACAUAUAUUUUUUUCUCAAAUAUAUGUACUUAUAAUGUAAAAUAUUUAUACACUAUCAGUACAUUAUUUACUGUUCAUAUUUAAUCGAUUAUUCAAAAAAUAAAAUAAAUGAAUGGUGAUAUUCACCUAUAUAAUUAUAUUGAUAUUAUACUCUUAUAUCAUUACUAUCGUUAUGGUAGAAAUAGAGAAAAUAAUUAUAGAAUGAAGUGGAGAGAGCACUUGAAGAGUGUAUAAAAGAAAAAAUAUUUACAAAUAUAAAAUAACAUAAAACUAACUCAGAGAUAGUUCUCACCACAACAUUUCCUUCUUUGGAGUGAGGCUUACAAAACUCUUCAAAUAAUAAUAUAAAAAAGACAUUCAUUUUCCUUGUCAAAAUCAAAUGAUCUUGUUACAGUAUAUAAAAAAGGUUCUUACGUUGUCAUUUCGUUGCAUCAUGAUCAUGGAAUGUAUAUGCUAUGACGUUGAAAUCGAAAAUAAUGCAAAAGGGAGGACAAUCAUUGUAUUGUAUUUAUACUUAACUAUGCAUGAGCGUGAUGGUUGAUAAAGAAUGGGGCUCAAUCGCUGAACGGACGUUGACAAAUCAAUCAAUUAUUAUUUGCUUUAUGAUGAAUUAUUUCCACUUUUUUAUGUGUAUCAGGUUGGUUCUGCUUUAGAUAUUAGAUAUCACACAGUGUAUUAUUUUAUAUUUCAUUUGUGUUCUUCAUUGAAAAAAUAUUCCUAUACAAAAAUUAAUAACUAAAUGAGUUGGGAUAUGAUUCAGGGGAAUAGAAAACUUUGCUGCAAAGUUUUUCCUAAAAUGUAUCUUGGAGACUGUAUGGUGUAUGCUCGUAGGCAUGCUCCUUAUGCUAUUUGGAAAAGUAUUGUGAAAGCUACUAUAAAAUUGGGAGAUGGUUUUAAUCUAUAGUUAGGUAACAAAAACCGAUCUUUCUGGUAUGAUAAUUGGUUUGAUUUGGGCAAGUUGAGUCACCUAGGAUACUAUGUCAAUAUUUCUGACACUCACGUGCAACUUGAGGAUUUCUAGAAGGGCAAAUCCUAGGAUUUUAGUUUCAUUUACACUAUGCUUCCUAUUCAUGUAAUGUAAAUUAUUCAAACUAUUAAAGUCCCAUCUUCGCUUAGCAAUAUGGAUUCUUGGAUCAGGUAAGAUAGUGCAACAAGCUGUUCUAAUUCAGGCUACUAGUGGAUUAGGAGAAAUGAGGAAGUUUCGCCUGCUCAUAGCCUUUGGAGUUGGUUAUGGAGACUCUGUGUUACGGAAAGGUCAAGUUUUUUUGUUGGCUCUCUACUCAUGAUUCUUUGCCACCUAACGCUCUAUGCUUCAGAGGACAUUUGUCUAACACAUCUACCUACUCUGGAUGUAGUAGUGUAUUUGAGGAUAUAAUCCACAUAUUCAUGAACCGUCGUAACUCUGCUUUUUUAUGAUGUUGUAUGGGCUUUAAUGGUCAGGGCUUUUGGGCUACUCAAUCUUUCAGUACUUGACUAGUGGAUAAUGUCAGAACCCAUAAUGGUAAUCUUUUUCUGAUUGGCCUAUGGUGGCUUGGCGAUGGCGUAACGAUUCCAUAUUUGGUAGUAUUGUCCGUGAUAUAGCUUAUAUUGCUUCUAAUGUUCAUCAAGACUAUAGAGAUUGAUUUUCUAAUGAUUCCUUCUCCAUUGGAUUGGUGUAGGAAAGUAUCCAAUGGUUUCGUCUUAAGAGUGGUUGGCUGAAACUUAAUGUAGAUGACAAUUGUAUAAUCCAUAAUCAAAUUAUUGGAGGAGGGGGAGUUAUCCGUAACCAUCACGAACAAUGACUUUCUGGUUUUCUCUUCCAAAAUUGGAUCCGGAUCUCCCAUCCUGGCUGAAUUGCUUACUAUGGAGAAUGGUCUUCAUUUGACUUGGAAUCAAGGACAUCGUGUGAUUAUCUUAGAGAGUGGUUGUCUUGAGGCGAUUCAUAUGAUCACCGAGAAGACACAAAGUCGCUUAUAAUAUUUGGUUCAACCUUUACAGAGCAUUUUUGAGUUACUUAGCAGAAAUUGAGAAGUUCGUGUGCAGCAUAUCUUAAUAUAAAGAAACAUGUUAGCUGAUUGUUUGGCUAAAUUCAAUUUAAAUCUUCUUUUCUCUUCAAGGAUUUGCGACAUGUCACCUACAGAAGCUCUCAACUUUUUGCAUAUGAAUCUCAAUCAUAUCCUUUAGCCUUUAUUUUUUUUAUUUCGGAUGUAUCAAAAAAUAUUACACAAUCAACUAACCAAUUAUACUAAACGAAUAACUAUAAUAAGUGGAAGAAAGGCCCCGUACAAGAAACUUAUGACAUAUUUAUUUUGGAUCGUAUUACAUAUUUUGUUACAAUUUUUAUGACAAAUAAUGUUAAGGUAUAAGAAAAACAACACAUGUUAAAAAUUUAUCCUUCGUUUAUUAGUAUAAUUGGUGACUUAGGUUAUGCCUAUGAGUUAUUGGGACGCAAAAUUUUAUUCAUUAGCCGAAAAUAUCUAUUUUUUGUACAUGCUUUUCUAGUGGAUGAGGUGUGUUGUACAUAUACAUUAUUCUCUUAAUUAUUAAAUGUUAUGUUUUGAUUUUAUAAAUAACUAGUGUGUCGACAUAUAUUUUGUGUCUGCCAGUCUACAUUGUAUAAUAUUAAGUAUUCAUUUUUUAUAUAUUUCAUUUUGCAAAAUUAAAAUGUAUUUUUUAUGUUGGGUGUACUUUAUAUUAUAUUUUUUUAUUAUAAGUUCAAUUUAAUGUGAGAGAGGUGAUUAAUAUAUUUUGGGGUAGUUACCUAUGAUUAUAUGGUUUUUUUUUGUAAAAAUUAAAUAAUGCUAAGCGAAAAAUAGAAAAAUGAAAAUUAUACAAUGGUGGUAGUUACAUCAUGUUUUGGCAUUAUAUUAUUGUUAGAUAUUUAUGGAACGACAAGUGCACCGUAUUGUCCAAGUAAUAGAAUCCGAUAAAAUACUGGGAUAUCGUCCUUAGGGAGUAGACUAGAUUUACACUAAUUCAUACAAUAAUAAUUUGAGUAUAUAUUUACAAUGAUGUUUUUAUAAAAUUUUGUAUUUGGUUGUGAAAAAUCAUAAAUUGAACGAAAAACAAUUAAAAGAAACUGGGAUCGAAAUGCAUCAUUCUUUCCCAUUGACAUUCAUGGAUUCAAUUCCAAGUAACUUAUGAAGUUAUUGAUUCAGAUGCACAUUUCAUUCAAAUCAUUCACAUCAAUCCCUUGAGUGUAAAAUUCUUAGUCAAUAACUCAAAUACCAAUUCCUUGGAUAUUUGAUCGGAUUACUAGCAUUAAGUUCUAUGUAAAAGCAAUACAUACAUCAUUGUCCAUUCCUAGAGCAAUGAUGUAUGAAGGAAGAUGAUCCAGGUUCGGUGUCAAGUUUAACUUCCCAAUUAAACUUGAACCCAAGAACAAGAAAUUAAUAGCAAAUUAAACUCAUGCAUUAAGAAUGAGAUGAACUUCUCAAAAUCCAAUAACAAUUACAAUAGAAUCGAAUCCAUGACUACAAAGGUUAGAAUAUUACAUUUCGAAACCCACAACAAGAUCUAAUCACUCCUUCUCGCUAUUACAACGCUCGAAUCAUGAAAUUAUACAAUAAAAAAUACGACGUAGAAUCGUUUUCACGACUUCUAUCCUAAUCUCCUUGUGUUUCUCUCUAUUUUCGUGCCAAAGAUGUUUCAGAAGUGUUUUGAUAAUCUCCCCUGAUGUCCAAAACUGCCUAUAUCAAGUUCUAAAUGCUACUCUCUCGCUCAUGCUAGGGAUUCUCGCUUGAGCGAGAGAAAAUGCCAUUCCCUCGCUUGAACACAUCGCUUGGGCGAGGGAAACACAUGGCCUAAUUGAAUUUUGGCCCCCAAAUAUUGCUUGAGCGACAGUCCCUCGCUUGGGCGAGGGACAGUAGUAUUUUCUGAUGAUUUUCUUCUGAGGUAUGGCUUAAGCGACCAUUCCCUCGCUUGGGUGAGACUUGUGUUGUUCAAAAACUCAUUCUUCUCUUUUUUUCUCCUUUGUCCAUCAUUUCUAAACCUACAAACAAUAAAACACAAGUAAUUUCCUAAACAAUACAAGAUUUACUAAGUUAUUGGGAAUUGUACGUAAUGAUAGCAUAAAUACACGCUAAGUGUCCCAAAAGCAUAUAAAUUUCCUUAACAAUUUGGCACUUAACAAUUAUACAAGCGUGGCGACAAGCACUUCAUGCCUGCCGACCAAAUUCUUACUUUUUUGUAUCAAAUAUUUGUAAUUUACAGUUGAAUUUAUUCAAUUGGUAUCAGAUAUUUUUUGGUGUAAUGUUAAAUUUUUAAAUACACUUUCAAAAUAAGAAGAUGAUGAUGGCAAAAUAAGAAGAUAAUAUUAUAUAUUUUGUUGUAGAAAUUAGAAGAUAAUGAGGGUAAAAUAGGGAAUCACAAAUUACAUCAUGGUAGGGUGGUUAUUUUGUGUUUUACCUUUAUUAAGUAGUAUAAAUAAAUAUGAAACUAAAAGUUAUAAAGAUAAAAUAUGAAAACAUAAAAUCCUCUAUGAAUAGCUAUUUUAUGUUUAUAAGUGUUAGUGUCAAUUAGUAUAGAUAAACAUGAAAUGAAAAAAUAUAAAAGAUAAAAUAGAGAAACAUAAAAUAUUUCAUGGGUAGAUAUUUUACGUUUGUUAGUAUUAGUAUAGAUAAAUAUGAAAUUAGGAGUUAUAAAAAAUUAAAUAGAGAAACAUAAAAUACUUCAUGGGUAGUUAUUUUAUGUUUUCCCUUUAUAAAUGUUAGUUGGUACAUGCACUUUGUGCCUAUCGGUGAAUAUGGCAUGAUACUACAUAUGCAAUUUUUAUAUAUUUCAUUUUUUAGAUUUAGAAUGUAUUUGUUAUGUUCGGUGUACUUUAUAUUAUAUUUUGUGUGUGUUUAUGAUAAUGUUUAAUUUAAGGUGAGAUAUGUGGUUAAUUAAUGUAUUGGUGGUGGUUGCUUAGAAUUAUAUGGUUUUUUUGUGAAAAUUAAGUAAUGUUAAGGGCAAAACAGAAAGUGAAAAUUACACAAUGAUGGAAGUUAUUUCAAGUUUUGGUUUUAUAUAUAGUAUAUAUAUAUAUAUAUAUAUAUAUAUAUAAUAUAGAUAUAGAUAUUAUACAAGUGUUUGACAGACAUUUCGUGUUUGUCGGCUUAUAUUCUUAUUUUAUAAUACUAAGUACUUAAUUUUUAUAUUUCAUUUUGGAAAAUUAGAAUAUACUUUUUUUAUAUUAUAUGUACUUUAUAUUAUAUUUUAUUGUCUUUAUUAGAACUAGUGUGUCAAUAGACAUUUCAUGUCUGUCGACUCACAUUCUUAUUUUAUGAUAUUAAGUAUUAAAUUUGUAUUUUUUAUUUUAAAGAAUUAGAAUAUUUUUUAUUUGAUGUACUUCAUGUUAUAAUUUUUGUAUUUAUUAUAAUAUCCAACAUAAAUUUAGAUGUAUUAAUUAUAGUUAUCUAGGAUUAUAUUUUACUUUAGAAAUAAAAAAAUAUUAUGAACAAAAUAAGAAAAUAGAAUCAGUAGUUAUUUCAAGUUUUGGCUUUAUAUAUAGUACUAGCGUGUCGAGAGAUACUUCGUGUCUGCCGACCCACAUUCUUAUUUUAUGAUAUUAAGUAUUAAAUUUGUAUUUUUAUUUUAGAGAAUUGGAAGUUUUGUAUUGGAUGUACCUUAUUGUUAUAAUUUUUGUAUUUAUUAUAAUAUUCAACUUAAAGUGGGAUGUAUUAAUUAUUGUAAUCUAGAAUUAUAUGGUUUUACUUUAGAAAAAAAUAUAUCAAAUGCAAAAUAGGAAAAUAGAAUCAUGACGGUAAUUAUUUCAAGUUUUGGCUUUAUAUAUAACUAACGUGUCGGUAGUUACUCCGUGUCUGCCGACCCGCACUUUUACUUUUUAGUAUUGAAUAUUUAAUUUUUAUAUAUUUCAUUUCAGAGAAUUAGACGUGAUAUUAUAGUUUUUUUGAUAAAAAAUAUAUAAAUGAAUUGUGAUAUUAUUAAAAUAAAAAGCAUUGGUAGUUUGAUAUAUUUAGUGGAUGUUGUGAAUACCCACUUUUGUUCGGUCCAGUGUUCAACAGUUAAAAUAGACUCUAGUGUAUAUUUAUUAGAGUUACUUUGUGAAGAAUUUUGGCAUUUAAGUUUAAUUAUCAACUCAUCACACUAAUCAUAUACAUAUAUUAACAUUAUAGGUUUGUCUUUUUUUGCAAUAAGAGACACUUUUAUUAAUACACAUAAACUGAUUUUUUAUUUUAAUUAUAUAUAUUCAUAUUUAAUUCAAAAAUGUGAAAUAUAUAAUAAAAAUAAAAUAACAAAUUGAUUUCUAUUAUAAUUAUUUAUAUCAAUAUUUAAUCCAAAAAUAAAAAUAAAAAGUUUAUAUUAAAACAAUAAAUGAAUUUUGGAUGGGAGAUAAUGUCUAAAGGGGUGGAACCACUUUAUGAAAGUGGGGGUGGUUACCCAGUUUUUAGGAAGAGAGGUUUCCUGGUUUUUAGAUUUUAAAAGAAAGAAGAAGAUUUUCAGAAGGGGAUACCAGCAACACGUAAAAGAGAGAGAAAAAGAGUAAAGGAUAGAACAUUGAAAAGUGACCAGAGACAAAUUCAUUUUAGAGAUCAUCCGUAGUAAAUCCAGAAACCCUGCACCAUUAAUCCAAAACCAGCUCAUCUAAUAACAAGUCUAAAAACCCCAUUCUAAAAUUUAGAAACAGUAGAAGACGAGAUCAUACAUUGAAGAAACAAGGGGAACCAAAGUGCAAAGAAAGGAAAGAAGCUAGGAAUCUAAAAAGGUUGGUAAUCACGUGUACCAAUAUUUAUUUGUGUUUUUUGUUUUCUUUAGUCUUUUAACAUGUUAUAUGUCAUCAAAUCAUUCAUUGUGAUUCUUUUUUUAGAAUUUUUGUUUAUUCUUUAGUGUCGUAUUAUUCUCAAAGGGAAAUAAGUCUUCAAAGGUUUUCAUCCAAGUUUCUAAGAAGUUUUCCUUGCAAUCUUUCUAUCAUGCUUCAUUAGUAUGUACAUAAGUUUUGUAUCAAAAAUGCAUAAAAAACACACACAGGGAGUAACGUAAAAAAACAGAACGUUGCACUAAAACUAUUAGAAACCCAAUUUAUAGCACUGGUACAAUAAAGAUAAAAAUAUUAAUUUGCCUCUCCUACAACCAUAUUCAUUCCUUUUUUACAAUUUCUCACAUUCUCAACAUAAACAUUCUUUUGCCAUCACCCCCAUAAACCCAUGUUCAGGUAUACUCAUUCUAUCAUUUAACAUGGCAAAACAAUAUUAAAAGAAAAUGAAGAAAGAAGACAAUUUCACUUCAUCAUUCCCCAUAUCCUUCUAAUACUUCUAGUUGACCUCAGGGGGAACCAUAGCCACCACCAGGGCCAUAGAACCAGGGAGUUCAGCCAUUAGAGCACAAGAACCGCUCCUCAUCGUCACUAAUUACCGCAAACCACCAUAGCCAAUAAGAUCGAGAACUAGAGAAGAAAAUACUAGAUCAAGAGACGCGAAAGUGAAAGACUUUUUUUUUCAUCUUACCACUGGAGCCAUGGAGACUACAUGUUCUCCGCCAAACCGCCACCGCCAAACCGCCACCGCCAAACCGUGUUGAGGCAAGCGGUUCGCCCCAAGUUCGUGAGCCAUAGCCACCACCGUGGGCAGUGCGGCUCCCUCUGCCAUUUCCAUCGCCUAAGCUGCAUCAUCCCUUCGUCGGAGCAGUGUUCCUACAUCAAUUCACGGUUCCGGAGUCACUAAAAGGGAAGGACCCUCUUGCUGAAGUUUCUCAAGUCUUUAAUAUAAGAAGAUGACCUAACCUUUUUUUAAUUACACACUCCCAAUAUAAGUUGAAGACUUUAUGUAGACCCCUAACCCAAAAGCCCACUGGUGUUAAGUUAAGUUUAUAAAAAAAAUGCAAAAGUUACGUGCCUAUUUUUAAUAGUGAAGAUAUAUUUAUUUGCUUUAUUAAAAUUAGCUAACAGAGAAUUCAAUCUCUUUUGGUAGGAUUAGUAGUGCGUUAUUACAUAGUUAGAAUUGAAUUGAUUUCCUUCUUUUAAAAAACAAAAAAAAGUAGUUAAGUUUCAAGUUAAUUUCUUAAACAAUAUGUUAAUUAUUAGUUUUAAGAUUUAAUAGGAGGGUUAAAACUCGUAUUGUAUCGUUCUUCUCACUUCAAGUUGAGAACCGGUCGCGGUCACUUGUGUUGUUUCUGUUAUCUAUCGAAAUGAGAAGAAGGUAAAUAAUCAAUGUUGAUUCUUCGUCUAUUAAUCUCACUCCAACUAAACUCAAACGAAUUCUAAACUUUAUUUUAAAAGUAUAAUGAUAAUAAUAAAUUUUAAUUAUUUUUGGGAUAUAAUGGUGAGGUUACAACUCGUAUUGUGUCUUUCUCUUUGCUUCGAGUCGAGAAUCGGUCGCGGUCAUUUGUACUGCUUCUGCUAUCUAUCGAACUAGGAAGAAGGUAAGCAAUCAAUGUUGACUCUUCAUCUAUUAAUUCCACUCUAAUUAAACUCAAAUAAAUUUCUAAAUUCUAUUUUAAAAAUAAGAUUAAUAUUAAUGUUUUAAUUAUUUUGGGAUUCAAUAGCCGAGGUUACGACUCGUAUUGCAUCUUUCUUCUCAUUUCGAGCUGAGAAUCGGUCACGGUCAUUUGUACUGCUUCUGCUAUCUAUUGAAGUGAGGAGAGGGUAAGCAAUCAAUGUUGACUCUUCGUCUAUUAGUUCAACUUCGAAUAAAUCCAAACAAUUUUUAACUUUCUUUUUAAAUCUAACCAAAUUAAUUUUUAAAGAACUACGUAGUCUUGAUUUCCCUAUUGCACCCGAGGAUACGUAGGAGCAAUAUGAACUUGUCAGAUACAAAUAAAAAAAAUGAAAAAAUAUUUUGGUGAAGCGAUUUAAUUUAAAUAAAUUAAGGGUAUUAAAUUUAUGCAAUUAGUUAGGGUACCAUUUUAUUACGGGCGAACGAGGUGCUAAUACCUUCCCCAAUUCGUAAUCGGCUCCCGAUCCUGGAUAUCAAAAAUCCAAAAGCCCAAUAUGAUUGGGCUUUAAAGAUUUUUAUACAUUUUUAACCAUAAAAUAUAGUGGCGAUUCUAAGAGAUCGCGUAACCGAAAAUCGGGGCGCGACAGCUGGCGACUCUGCUGGGGAGUAUUUUUUUAAGAGGGUCAGGCCCAGUACCACUUUUUGCAUGUUUGUUUUAUACCCUUAUGCCUUCUUUGUUUGUGAAAACUUGUGUAUGCAUCUUUAUUUAUGUUAUUUAUUUAUUUUUCGAGUUAAUUAAUUAUCUUGAACGUACUCACCUAUUUCUUGUGCAGCUUUUGAGGGGCGGAUUUAUUUUAUGGUCUAUGUGCUUCCUCACACACUCACUUGGUACACUUGAGUUGCACACGCCCUACACCCGGGUGUUAGAGAUUAAGAUUAAGAUAGGGGGACAUUUUCUUUGCCGGUAAGUGACCUUGUGUCACAUCGAGUAUUGGCGUGAUGAACCACCUAGAUUGUUCCCAUAUAUCAUGAGUUGGCUGCAUGGGGAGCCAGUCUCUUCUCGUAACUAGCUCAUGAUAUAUGGUUUCCAUUCUUUUUAAGAUUGGAUGCAGUCUGAUGAUAUUUAGAAGUCUAGAGCUUUAUCGAGUCCAGUUUAGUCAAGACCUAGCAUUCCACUAAGGGUUGCAGCUUUCAAAAAAAAAAAAACCUUCUAAGUAUACCUUACAUAGGACACUGGAAGCAAACCUUAAUCCACUUUCCAGUUGCAUCAAUGUACACUAUGAAACGUGAUUUCCAUCAUUCCAAACUAUUUUAAAUAUGUUAGUGAAUUUUUUUUUAUUAAACAUGAUUUAUAACUUACCCCCUAUGGGCCCAAAUACCCUCGGGACAUUUUUAUAUCAACAAAAUUGGAUUGUACUCUUUUAUUAAUUUCAUUAUUCUAUAUCAAACAUUUUCAUUUUAUCCUUCAUUACAUAUCAUGCAUCAUUACAUUUUAUGUAACAUCACAAAUCAUUAUGUUCAUGCAUUCAAGUAACAUUUUUUAUCCUUAAUAAACAGAUUCCUUUUCAGAAAAGAGAUCUGCGGUAUAGUGAGACAUGAAGGCUAAUUCUCUUGUUAUGGGUCAAAGCAGUAAUUUAUUGGUGAAAAGGGAAUAAAAGCUGAGGUACAAGGAAUAGAUGUGAGCUGUUUGAUAGAGUUGAUUCCCCAGAUCCCUCAAGAAAUUCAGAAUAAGUUCAACAAAGAGUAUGGAAGGCUGAUUGAUCUACUCCUUAUCACUGUUGAUGCAGAUACACUGAAAGUUAUGGAUGCCAUGGUUUAGUAUUGGAGUCCAACUUUGAGAGUAUUUGAGUUUCCUAACUUAGAUGCAUCACCUACGAUCGAAGAAUAUGAGGUUCUGCUGGAUAUUCAGGUAAGAGAUAGAGAGAAAGUCUAUUUGUUCACUGAGGCUCAGAAUGUUACAGAAGACUUGAUAGAGAGGCUCGUUGGGGUACGUCCGAGUUCGACUAACAUCAUCAAACAGGGGAUGACCUUUGGGCUCAAAUGGAAAUUUUUUAAGAAACAUAUUAGUCAAACAGCGGAGCAAGGAAAAUGGGAGUUGUUCAAACCAGCAUUCGCCUUGACAGUCUAUGACAUGAUCUUGUUCCCAUUUGUCCAUGACAUGAUCUUGUUCCCAUUUUUCCAUGACAUGAUCGAUCAGGCGGCCAUUGAUGUGUUCACAAAGUUCAGGUCGUUUGGAACUAACCCAGUCCCAUCCAUCGUGGCAGAGACCCUACUAUCGUUCCAAAGGUGUCAUGAAAAGGGUCAUUUCAAAAUCUGAUGUUGUACUCAACUGUUGUAUGUGUGGAUGAUCAUCAGAUUCAAACACCAUCAAUAUCCGGAUUGGAGCAGACAUCCCCUCUUAAGGUUCAGAAAUAUUGGGGUGAAACCAAUGCAGUUGUUGGACUGGAAAAAGUUGUUUGACGAGGUUACUCCUAGGAACUUUGGUACAAAGACUCACUUUUAUGAGAGAUAUUCAUCAAUCAUGUAUUCUUACAGGGAGUACCCAAAUAUGAUAUUAAUGGGACCUCGAGGAUGCAUUUCCUUCACCCCCUUCACUCCAGCUCUGAUACUUGGUCAGCUCAAAUGGGGAAUGACACCGGUACGACCCGAACAGCUACAGGGAUUCUCCAUAUGGUACAAAAGCGAGGAGGCCACCAAAGAGAAAUUGGACUCAAUCAGAAAUGCUUUAAAAAUGAUUCGUCUUUGUGGGCCAAAUGAGUUGGGAGAACAUCAAGUCUUUUACACCGAGGAAUAUAAGCUAUGGCGCAGUGGAAGGCGAAAUGGUCAGGCUGUCCCACCAAUUGCCCAACCACAGAAACUACCUGGUCCAUCUGAGAAUGAGUUGUUGAAGGAACAUAUCAAGCUCUUAGAGGCUAAGCUAGAAGAAGCUAGAGACAUACAUGACAAGGAUAAUCUGGGUCUUGAAAAACUCAACAAAAUCAUCCCCAAUAUGAAGAAGGAUCAAACAAGCCUUAAAAGGGACUAUGCUGAAAUGUGCUCUGAGUCGGGAAAGGUUCGCCUAAUUCGGACAGUAAAAGAGAAAGAUGCAGAAAUAACUGACCAUAUCGAUCGGUUGAAAGCGCAAAGUCAUGCCACACGCAAGGCUGAAGCCAAAGCAAAGUCUAUAGAACUUGAAAUGGAGAAGAUAAGACAGAGUGAAAGGCAAGCAUGGUUUAUUGUUAAAGACUAUCAAUUGAUAUUGGGUGAAGAAUAACAGAAAGAAGAUAACCUCAAAGCCAGCCUCAAAGCUUCAGAGAAAGCCUGCUAUGAUGCAUUAACAGAAGCAAGUCAGCUAUCAGAACAACUUCAAAAACUCAAAACUGCAUAUGAUGAAUUAGUGGCCAACCAGGAAAAUUGGUCAGAUAAUUGGAAGGGAGUACUCGAAGAAAGUCAAUGGGAGAUAAACAAAUGGGAAGGGAGAUGCAGACAAUUAGUUGAUGGUCUCGGUGAUUUUUCUGAUGAUUGGUUGAAGCUGUUCUACGAGGCUAGACAAGAGAUGACUAUGUACCCGGAAACAGAACUUCUUCCAGAAAUGAAGGCAUUUUUUGAAGCUUGUGGGGGAAUAGCUAGGCAACUUAAGAAAUGGCGGGUUGAGGCUACCAAAGAAUUUUAGGAAUAAUGAGUAGGAAAAUAAACAAUAAACGAAUUGUAAUCCUUUGCUUGAAGUACUAAUAAGAUAUCUUGUUUUCGCAACUCUUUAUAUCUAUGUGUGCAAAUGUAAAAUUGACUCCCAUUUACAAAUAAAUGUUAUCUCCAAAAAUGUUUAAAACGUCUUCUAUUUAGAUACAACCUUGGUUUAAAACUAUAUGUUUUCUCUAAUGGUUGUCAUCAAGUAACUGCAUGCGACUUUGUUGGGCACGCCCUCAAAUCACCAUAUGUAGGGCAAGACGUUUAAUGCUAACAACCUCUAACAAGAGAACGAACAAAGAUGCAAUCGAGGUUAGAAACUUGAAGUUUCAUUCUAAAAUUGACUUCAACACAAAAAUGAGACAAUAGGGGCACGCCUCAGGGUCGACAGAAUGCGGGUCGAAAUGUCUUGCUAUACCGAUCCUCUAUACGAAAAGGAAUUUAAAUUUUUUUUUGCAUGCAUCAUUUUUUUGUUCAUUUAAAUAAAAUGAAAAUUUUCUCACCUAGGUAUCAUAUAAAAAUUGCUCCUAAGCAUCCUUACCACAUCAGACUGCAAUCCAAGCUGAUGACAGACCAAGAAUCCAGUAGCAUUGACAACCGGUCUGAGCUUGCCGAAAUGAAAGCGCAAAUAAGUCAGAUGAUGAAAAUCAUCCAGGAUAUGCAAAAGGCUCGAAGCUCAAAAGGAGAUGCCACUGCAUCAGGCGCCAAACCUUCACAAUCCACACAAAAGGUGGGUCCCAAGACAGUUACUGGGGCCAACCGUCGUAAGGGUGUUAUCAUAAGGUAUGAAGACACAACUGAUGGUCAAGAGGAACAACAAUCAGAUGAGGAAGACGACGAUGAGCAAGACGAAGAUCCUACUCAUGAUCUUCCUCCUAAAAACAAGACCACAAGACACCAAGUUGAAGCUAAGAUAAACGGGGGUACCCCAAACGAAUCCUCAAGCCAAGAGAAGGCAGAGCAGGAACUUAUAAAAGAGAGACUAAGGGUCAUUGAGGGCACAAGCUUCCCUGAUGUAAAAAAUGCAUUUGAGAUGUGCCUCGUACCAGAUGUAGUGUUUCCACCAAAGUAUAAAACUCCUGAAUUCGAGAAAUAUGACGCUACUUCCUGCUCGAAAAGUCAUCUACAUAUAUAUGCUAGGAAGAUGACAGCUCAUCACGGAAAUGACAAACUAUUAAUUCACUGUAGUGGCAGCCAUGGGCUGGUACAUCCGCUUGGAAAAGGCUCAGAUUAAAACUUUCGUUGAUUUAUCCAAUGCCUUCAUGAAGCAGUAUAAGUACAAUGAGGACGCUUCUCCUGACAGGGCCCAGCUUCAAAGCAUGGCCAAAAAGCAGAAGAAAGCUUUAAGGAUUAUACGCAACACUGGAGAGCUUUGGCGUCACAAGUCAUACCCAAAUUGGAGGAGGAAGAACAAUUGUCUAUCUUCAUGGAUACUUUGAAGGAGCCCUAUUAUGAUUGUAACGCCCCGAAAAAUACUUCUAAAAAACAUUGCGGAAAAUGGUUAAGUAACUCUGGGACAUCACUUUAAGUAACUCGAAUGCGGAAAAUCAACUUAUCGUUAUCGAAUGAUAACUUAACAUGAUACACAAUUUCCUGAAUAAUACGAUGCAUAUAAUCGUUUAAGUCAUAGUUAGUUCAUACAGACUAGGUCAGCAAAGGCGGAAACUACAUCGCCACUAACAUAUACAAAAUCAAAAGAAACACAGCCCCCACCAAAAACAAAAGGGGACAUCGACUGGUCCACAAGAUGACUCAAAAGAUUCCAGGAAUGUUGGACCCCUCACUCGUGUCCUCCUCCUCUUCCGAGUCAGACACGAGGUCGAUCACCUCAACCGAGCUCUCUACAUUGACGAGCUCAACGACCUCGUCCUCCUCUUCCUCCACUUCAUUAUGCCAUAACCCAGCGGCAUAAUUAUGAGGGGAUGACAUUCUCAAAACCGGAGACUACUUGCAGGGACCUCCUCCAAGAACCCGGCUCCUCUUGGCUCUACUAGAUGACGGAGCAUCCAAACAAUCUGGCCACGUUCUAUGACCGUGGGAGGGAACAGCGCCAUCACUCCUGACUGGCGGGUAUCGAAGUCCAUCCUCUAGAGACAUCAGCCUCUUUCGCGGCAAGGUGAAUGAAGUGUCAAUGUAAGUGUCGGGUUGAGGGAUCAUCAUCGAUGACCCGUUGUACACCAUGUGCAACGACAGACCGCAGGGGCCUGUGAAUGUAUAUCUGUGCCCGUCACAAUUCCAUUGUCCCAUCGGGGACAUCGUGAAGUGAUAACCUCGAAUUUGAGUGUUGUUGUUGGCUAUCUGCAUAGCAAAUAUAUACAAAACGAGAACAAUAUAACAAAGAGAGUAAGACAUCUAAUGAACAUAAAUUCAUUGACGGCGUGGACUUACUCAGAAUAUCACACUCAGACAUAAAAUAUACUUUAACAUAUAGUUCAUCAUUUAUCAUUGACAUCAUGAAGAAAUACAUAACUUACCAUUUAUUCCAACAUUACCAAUAUAUCNNNNNNNNNNNNNNNNNNNNNNNNNNNNNNNNNNNNNNNNNNNNNNNNNNNNNNNNNNNNNNNNNNNNNNNNNNNNNNNNNNNNNNNNNNNNNNNNNNNNGAAUACACAAUGCUUGUAACUCACAUGUGGGAAUUCACUUCCACAAUGAUAAUGUAUGCAUGAUAUGUCAUGAUUAUCCACCUUACACCAAUAUCCAUCCAACAUCCUAAUCGGAAAUAAUCGAGAGUACAGGUCCCAUACCAAGCCUCUUUGUACGCACCCAAAAUAACAUAUCCUCGUAAGGAAGUAAAAAUAGAUCGAUUGGUACCCUUAGGAACAGUCAUACCCAGACCUAGGUCGUACAAACACUUUCUGGGCAUCCCUCUCAUCGAUCUCGAAUGCAAUCCAGGGGUUGUCAGAGAUUGCCUAGUUUGGCAUGUGAGAACUGUCCGAUCCAACAAGGUACCUCCCCAGGAAUACAAGGGAGUCGUCUAACCCAGACUCUCCCUCAAGACAUUGUUGGCGAAUCAUCGUCCAAUCAGUGUCGUCCCUACUUACAUCACGGUGCUCUAAGUCGUCCCGUCAUUUCCUCUCCACUACUUCAUGGUCACAAUUCAAUGCAUUCUUAGUCAAAGUCAAAUGCAAAUGUAUUAAUCAAACACAUGAUCGGCUCAUCCUUAAGCCAUCUCCCGACAAGGAAUGCUUAUCGUGGGACCCGAUAGUACGUCAACCGUACAUACUCAAGGUAACAUCUCAAUCACUACAACUCAUCACCGAAUAAUCCUGGACGGUAACCUGACCAAGCCUCUUACGGUCAAUCGAUCGUUGUUCCGUGAUAUCAUGUAUCCUUACUAGGGUACCCCCUAGUUCACGACCUCAAGUCGGAUACUUGCCCAACAAGGCAUAAACACAAACAAUAUGCUUUCACACUUUUGUGGAGUCAUGCUUCUCAUCUAAGCCAUGAUCUCGUUCCACAACUUUUAUAUCACAACACACCCUACCCGGGUUCAUCGCAUUGGUCACAACAUCAUCUUAUUUCAAUCUUUCCACAAUGUCCCUCGCCCAAGCGACAAUUCAUCUUUAAAUCUCAAAUAAACUGAAGUCUUCCUCGCCCAGGUGAAGGUACUAUCGCCCAAGUGAGGCCCCUUCUCGCUCAAGCGAGACAUCUCUCGCCCAAGCGACAGAGUUCUAGAGGCUCAUUAAAAUCCUCGGCAUUCUCGCCCAAGCGAGGCCCUUCCUCGCUCAGGCGAGGCUUGCUCGCCCAAGCGAGAUGCUGUCGCCCAAGCGAGGGAAUUCCAGAACCAAAACUUCCCCUCGCCCAGUCCUCGCCCAAGCAACAGGGACUUGGACGGAAUACCAAUUUUUCCCUAUUUGACAAUCGAAACACAUUUAAACAUGGUUUUUCAAACACCUGCACACAGAAAAGUUCCCAACAACAUUCAUAUACAAUAUUCAACACAUUUCAUCAACAAUCGUAUAUAUUCAAAAGCAUUCAAACAUAAAAAUCUUGGGUUUCUUAAAACNNNNNNNNNNNNNNNNNNNNNNNNNNNNNNNNNNNNNNNNNNNNNNNNNNNNNNNNNNNNNNNNNNNNNNNNNNNNNNNNNNNNNNNNNNNNNNNNNNNNUAAUCUUACCACUUUAAAGUAAGUUAUUCAAAGUAUCAUUUAAGAGUUUUAUGAGGCAUUCAUGUACUCAUAAACCUUAACAUCCUUUUUAACAAAAGUUUCUAUUUUUCCAACUUGUUCCAAGCCAUGGUUUAAGGCUAAAAACAACUAGAAAUACAUACAUUCUCAUUUUUUUCAAAACACUUCCUAAAGGUUCCUUUGAUUUCAUCAUCAUCUCCUUUGGCUAAAACAACCAAAUUCAUGUAAUAAAACAUUAUAACAAUUCCAUGAACACAAGUUGUUCAUGGUUCCAACAAAAUAUUUUCACAAGUUCAAGAACAUCACCAUUUUCGGUUUUGAGGAGAAAAUUAGUUAGAAAAUGUUUUANNNNNNNNNNNNNNNNNNNNNNNNNNNNNNNNNNNNNNNNNNNNNNNNNNNNNNNNNNNNNNNNNNNNNNNNNNNNNNNNNNNNNNNNNNNNNNNNNNNNUCAUACUUAAAUCUCAUCAACAUCCAUUGGUUGAAUGUUGAGAGAAGAAGGAUUGAACAUGGAAUAAGCAAAUGAGAGAAGAGAGGAAAAGAUGAAGAGAAAAUUUUACCUUCUCUUUGCAAAUUUUGAAAAUGAAAGAGUGUGAGAGUGAAGUGUGAAGUGUGGAGGUUUAAGGAGAGAAGGGAAAUAUUUCCCUCUAGGAAAUCAUCAAAAAAUCUCCUAGGGUGGCUAAUGAUGAUUUCAUAAGAUUGAGUGAUGUGAGGUUUGAUUUAUGGAAAGGCAAAUUUCACAUCCCAACGCGAAAUGACCACUUCGCGGACAUGUGCGAUUAACAUUUCCGAGUAUUAUCGGCCAAUACUCGACCGGGUAUUAUAAAUCGCGCGAUUUUAAUAUUUGAUUAGAAUUUCGGAUUUCGGCAUUCCGAGUGAAAAAUAUUUAGAAAGUAGGUAUGAGUGUACUCAGGGUCUAUAUUGACUCGAAAUGAAAAUACGAAGCCAAUGGCACGAUCGGAAUUCGAUUCCGAGUUACAGAACUCAAGAACCACUUUUAGCCGUAUCGGGUGAGAUUCGGCCCCCGACAGCGGUCCGAAACUGACUGUCUCCGAAAAUCAUGAAAAUUUACAACCAAAUUGGAAAUAGAAUUACAAGACUAAGACGCAACUAGAGUUUCGUCUAAUUCUUUACCAAAUAUUCCCAGAAAUUCAUUUUCGAAAAUAUAAUUAAUAACAAUAUUAAUAAAAUCUUAUAAUUCAAAAUCGUAAAAUUCGCGGUGUUACAAUCCUCCCCCUUAAAAGAUUUUCGUCCUCGAAAAUAGAGCAUACCUCUCACUCAAAUAGAUGGGGAUAGGAUUCUCUCAUCGCAUCCUCGACUUCCCAAGUCGCAUAUUCGCCAUUCGCUUGACUCCAUAUGUCCUUAACCAAUGCGAUUUCUUUCCCUCGAAGAGUCUUGAUACUCUGAUCACCGAUCCUUACUGGCAAUGUCUCAAACGUAAGGUUAUCCUUUAACUGAAUUGAAUCGGGUUCGAUUAUGUGCGACGAGUCGCUAAUGUAUUUUCUAAGUUGAGACACAUGAAAAACGUUGUGUAGAUUGGACAAUAAAGGUGGUAAGGCUGUUUGGUAAGCUACUAGUCCAACUUUCCUAAGGAUUUGGUAAGGUCCAAUGAAUUUUGGGGUAAUCUUACGGGCUUUUAAUAACCUGUCAAUACCAGUUGUCAGAACCACUCUCAUGAAUACAUGAUCGCCUUCUUCAAAACUGAGAGGGUUCCUCCUCUUGUAAUAGUAGCUCUUCUGUCUACUCUGAGCUGUCUUCAUGUUCUCCCUUAUCAUUCGAAUCUUGUCCGUCGUUUUCUGAACCACAUCGGGUCCUAAAAUCAAAUUCUCCCCCGUUUCAGACUAGCAUAACGGCGUUCUGCAUUUCCUGCCGUACAAAGCUUCAUACGACGCCAUACCNNNNNNNNNNNNNNNNNNNNNNNNNNNNNNNNNNNNNNNNNNNNNNNNNNNNNNNNNNNNNNNNNNNNNNNNNNNNNNNNNNNNNNNNNNNNNNNNNNNNUGUCAAGCAACGGGAAACAUACUCGGCUACCUCUUUCUUCAUCCCUGACCACCAGAACAUUUUCUUCAAAUCUUGAUACAUCUUGGUAGUUCCCGGGUGAAUACUCAACUUGCUCUGGUGUGCUUCAUCCAAGAUUUCCAUCCUCAAUUCAGGGUCUUUUGGUACGCAAAUUCUGUUUUUGCACUUGAGUACCCCAUCAGUCCCAAUCUGAAAUUCUGGGGCUUUUCUUCGACCAGCAGGCUUUUCUUCUCUUGUAGUUCUGGGUCCGAAUCUUGUAAACCUUUCAAUUGAUCCAUGAACUCAUUCGUUACGGUGAGCAUGCCACAAAUCAAACUCUUAGGUCCAACUUGGACCGCUAGAUUUAAAUCUCUGAAUUCUUCUAUCAGCUUCAUCUCGCUAACCAUCAUCGUCGAGAUAUUCAAAGACUUUCUGCUUAAUGCGUCUGCUACCACAUUUUUUUUUCCAGGGAGGUACUGAAGAUCGAAAUCAUAAUCCUUGAGGAAUUCUAUCCAUAUCCUUUGCCUCAUAUUCAGUUCCUUCUGAUCAAAUAAGUACUUUAAGCUCUUAUGAUCGCUGAAAACCUCAAACCUUACACCGUAUAGAUGGUGUCUCUAGAUCUUGAGGGCAAACACGAUCGCAACUAAUUCCAGAUCGUGCGUUGGAUAGUUCUGUUCAUGAUUCUUUAACUGUCUUGAUGCGUAAGCCACCACUUUCCUUUGUUGCAUCAACACACAACCUAAUCCUUGCUUCGACGCGUCACAAUACACAUCGUAGUUCACACUAGGAUUUGGCAGAAUCAAAACAGGUGAUGUAGUCAACCUCUUCUUCAAUUCCUGAAAAUUCUCUUCAUAUUUGGCCGUCCAGAUAAACGCCUUAUCUUUCCUUGUCAGCAUAGUCAGCGGCAACGCCACUUUAGAGAAUCCUUCAAUGACCUUCCGAUAAUAACCCGCUAAACCAAGGAAACUCCUAAUCUCUGUUACUGACUUCGGCGAAAUUCCAGUCCAUUACAGUCUCCACCUUUGCAGGAUCCACUGCAAUUCCUCCCUUCGAGAUCACAUGACCGAGAAAAUUUACAAACUCUAGCCAAAGCUCACAUUUCGAAAGUUUGGCAUAAAGCUUGUUGUCUUUCAAUAUCUGCAGCACCACUCGCAGAUGCUCGGCAUGUUGGUUUAUGCUAGGAUUUGACAAGAUCAAAACAGGUGUUGUGGUCAACCUCUUCUUUAAUUCCUGAAAACUCUUUUCACACUUGGUCGUCCAGACAAACGCUUUAUCUUUCCUUGUCAGCAUAGUCAGUGGCAACGCCAGUUUGGAGAAUCCUUCAAUGAACUUCCGAUAAUAGCCCGCUAAACCAAGGAAACUCCUGAUCUCCGUUACUGACUUAGGAGAAUUCCAGUCCAUUACAGUCUCCACCUUUGCAGGAUCCACUGCAAUUCCUCCCUUCGAGAUCACAUGACCGAGAAAAUUUACAGACUCUAGCCAAAACUCACAUUUCGAAAGCUUGGCAUAAAGCUUGUUGUCCAUCAAUAUCUGCAGCACCACUCACAGAUGCUCGACAUGUUCUUCUGCAGUCUUUGAUUAAAUUAGAAUAUCAUCGAUAAAUACGACCACAAAUGUGUCGAGAUAAGGAUGAAAAAUUCUGUUCAUGUAAUCCAUGAAUACUAUAGGAGCAUUGGUUACACCAAAUGACAUUACGAGGUAUUCAUAAUGACCAUAACGCGUCUGAAAAGCAGUUUUCGGAAUAUCCUCCGACUUCACACGUAUUUGGUGAUAUCCAGAUCUCAGGUCGAUCUUAGAAAACACUGUAACUCCUCUCAGUUGAUCCAUCAAAACAUUAAUCUUCGGCAAUGGAUACUUGUUCUUGAUGGUGACCUUAUUCAGCUGCCGGUAAUCGGUGCACAACCUCAUGCUACCAUCAUUUUUCCUGGCAAACAAUAUUGGUGCACCCCACGGCGAAACGCUAGGUCUGACAAAUUGCUUCUGCAGCAAAUCUUCCAACUGCUUCUUCAACUCUGUUAGCUCCAAUGGCGUUAUCCUAUACGGAGCGAUAGCGAUCGGUCAAGUUCCAGGAACUAGAUCGAUAGCAAACUCUAUCUCCCUUAGUGGAGGUAAUCCAGGAAUGUCUUCCGGAAAUACCUUGGAGAAGUCUCGGACUACGGGUAGGCUCUGAAUCUCUGCUCUACUUUCCUUUUCCAACGAAGCCAACAUCAUAAACACCUAAGCUCCGUUCUUCAACAACUUCUCCAUCUCAUUGGCAGAUGUAUUUUUAGCCUCAUAAUUGGGUUUAUUGGUUUCUAUAGGUUCGCUAAACACUAUGGUCUUACUAAAACAGUUCGAAAGAACAUGAUUUUGAGAUAACCAGUCCAUCCCUAAAAUGAUAUAUAACUGGGAUAAGUGUAGGCAUAUCAGGUCCACCAAAAAUACUCGGCUUUCUAAAGUUAUCGGACGUUGGGAACACACGGUUGACACAAUAACCGGUUCACUAGUGGGUGUUGAUACAAGCAAAUCCUAAGGUAAAGACACAAUAAGUAAAGCUAAACGGUUGACAACAUCAAUAGCAAUAAAGGAAUGGGUCGCACCCGAAUCAAACAGUACAGAUAAAGGAAUCUCGUUAACGUUGCAGGUACCUUGAAUGAGAUCUUCAUUAGCCCCAACCUCUGCUCCGCUCAUCGUGAAAACUCUACCCUGAGCCCUGGGUCGUGCCGCCUGCACUAAGUUCACUGCUUCCCUUUUUAGCUUUGGGCAUGAAGACUUGUAGUGCCCUACCUCAUUGCAAUGAAAACAAGUCACACCCUUGCACUUGGGACACACUGGUGUCGCAGUCUGAUUGUAGUUCCCGACCGACGAACUCAUCCUACUAUUGUUGUUGUUAUUGUGGUUGUUGUUGUGGUUAUUGCUGUUGUUGUUGUUGCUUCCUAGUCUGAAGCCUCUAUUGUUAUAAGGCUGAAAGCUCCUCUAAUGACUUCCUGAAGAAGACGCAGCAGACCUUUCAUUGCGGUUGAAGGGCCUUCCCCUUCCAAACCCAUGUCCACCACUCCUCUGUGGACUGACCAGUGUUGGAGGUGACACAACACUUUUCAGUGUUGCAUUCCUCGCUCUGAUGCUCUCCUCGUAAAGCCUACACUUGUUGACUAGUGUUGCAAAGUCUGGUAUCUGUUGGUGAACGAACAUCACCUUCAGGUUGGGCUUAAGUCCAUCCUCGAACUUAGCGCACUUCGACCUCUCGUUCCCAAUCUCAUUCUUGCCAAUUCCUCAAAUUUGGCGCCAUACUCCCCCACUAACAUACUCCCCUGUUGAAGCUUCAGGAAUUCCAUUUCCUUCUUCGUCUUCAUAUCAGCAGGGAAAUACUUCUGCAGAAACUUGUCCUUGAAUGUGGUUCAGCUGGCCACCUGGUGCUCAUGCACCAUCUGCCUCCUGGUGAACUCCCACCAGUUAUCUGCUUCCUUACUCAGCAUGUAAGUAGCAUAGGUAACCUUUUGUUCAUCGGUACACAUGAGUGCCCGAAAGAUUUUCUCCAGCUCUUGGAUCCAUUCAUUUGCAGCCUCAGGUGCAAAUCCUUUUUCAAAUCUUGGGGGUUGACGACGACAGAACUCGUUGACCCUUGAGACGACUAAGCCUGAUGUUGUUGCUGAUUCAGCUGGUGUAGAUUAGCAUUUACACCUUGGAUUGUCACGGUCAUCGCCGCCAUGAAGUCCAGAUUUGCGGUUCCUCUUCCAGCCAUCUUAUUAACCACACAUUUAAACUAGGUGAGAUACUCUUCACACCAAAACUUCCAUCGUCGAACUCCAACGACAAUCAAAUAAUCAUACUCAAACAAACAACUAUCACACAAAGUCACACAAGAAAGCAUGUAAGGCCAUGCCCAGGCCAAAUAGGAAAGAGCCGCUCUCAUACUAUGUUGUAACGCCCCGAAAAAUACUUCUCAAAAACAUUGCGGAAAAUUGGUAAAAAAUUUUUUGAAUUGGGAUUAUAUAAAAUUGCCUCAUUUUCAAAUCUUCCUUUUCCGGGACAUAAAUUUAAGUAACUCGAAUGCGGAAAAUCAACUUAUCGUUAUUGAAUGAUAACUUAACCUGAUCCAUAAUUUCCUGAAUAAUACGAUGCAUAUAAUCGGUUAAGUCAUAGUUAAUUCAUACAUACUAGGUCAGCAAAGGCGGAAACUACAUCGCCACUAACAUAUACAAAAUCAAAAGAAACACAGCCCCCACCAAAAACAAAAGGGGACAUCGACUGGUCAACAAGCUGACUCAAAAGAUUCCAAGAAUGUUGGACCCCUCACUCGGGUCCUCCUCCUCUUCCGAGUCAGACACAAGGUCGAUCACCUCCACUGAACGAGCUCAAUGACCUCGUCCUCCUCUUCCUCUUCCUCCACAUCAUUAUGCUAUAACCCAGCGGCAUAAUUCAGAAGAGAUGACAUUCUCAAAACCGGAGCCUUCUUGCAGGGACCUCAUCCAAGAACCCGGCUCCUCUUGGCUCUACUGGAUGACGAAGCAUCCAAACAAUCUGGCCACGUCCUAUGACCAUGGGAGGGAACAUCGCCAUCACUCCUGACUGGCUGGUAUCGAAGUCCGUCCUCUGGAGACAUCAGCCUCUUUGGCGGCAAGGUGAAUGAAGUGUCAAUGUAAGUGUCGGGUUGAGGUAUCAUCAUCGAUGACCUGUUGCACACCAUGUGCAACAAUAGACCUUAGGGGACUGUGUAUGGACAUCUGUGCCCGUCACUAUUCCAUUGUCCCAUCGGGGACAUUGUGAAGUGAUAACCUCGAAUUUGAGUGUUGUUGUUGGUCAUCUGCAUAGCAAAUAUAUACAAAACGAGAACAAUACAACAGAGAGAGUAAGACAUUUAAUGAACAUAAAUUCAUUGACGGCGUGGACUUACUCAGAAUAUCACACUCAGACAUAAAAUAUAUUUUAACAUAUAGUUCAUCAUUUAUCAUUGACAUCAUGAAGAAAUACAUAACUUACCAUUUAUUCCAACAUUACCNNNNNNNNNNNNNNNNNNNNNNNNNNNNNNNNNNNNNNNNNNNNNNNNNNNNNNNNNNNNNNNNNNNNNNNNNNNNNNNNNNNNNNNNNNNNNNNNNNNNAUAUCCAUCCAACAUCCUAAUCGAAAAUAAUCGAGAGUACAGGUCCCGUACCAAGCCGUUUUGUACCACCCGAAAUAACAUAUCCUCGCAAGGAAUAAAAAAAAUAGAUCGAUUGGUUCCCUCAGGAACAGUCCUACCCGGACCUAGGCCGUACAAACGCUUUCUGAGCAUCCCUCUCAUCGAUCUCGAAUGCAAUCCAGGGGUUGUCAGAGAUUGCCUAGUUUGGCCUGUGAGAACUGUCCGAUCCAACAGGGUACCUCCUCAGGAAUACAAGGGACUAGUCUAACCCAGACUCUCCCUCAAGACAUUGUUGGCGAAUCAUCGUCCAAUCAGUGUCGUCCCUACUUACAUCACGGUGCUCUAAGUCGUCUCGUCAUUUCCUCUCCACUACUUCAUGGUCACAAUGCAAUGCAUUCUUAGUCAAAGUCAAAUGCAAAUGUAUUAAUCAAACACAUGAUCGGCCCAUCCUUAAGCCAUCUCCCGACAAGGAAUGCUUAUCGUGGGACCCGAUAGUACGUCAACCGUACAUACUCAAGGUAACAUCUCAAUCACUACAACUCAUCACCGAAUAAUCCUGGACGGUCACCUGACCAAGCCUCUUAAUAAAAAUUCAAAAGGACAAUAUUAAUAAAAUCUUAUAAUUCAAAAUCGUAAAAUUCGCGGUGUUACAAUGAUUACUUGGUGAGAAGUGUUGCAUCGAGCUUCAAUGUACUCAUUAAGGUUGGGGAGAAAAUAGAAGGACGCAUAAGGAGUGGAAAGCUGGUAGUAGAUCAGCCCAAAUCAGGCACAGGCAAGAAUCCCAACUUUAUGAAGAAGAAGGAGGGAGAAACACUCGCGGUGUUCACUGAGCCGAAGGGAUAUAAGGUCUGAAACCCUAAAUACUAGGCCUCAUACAUUGCCACACCUUCCACACAGCCCAACUAUACCGCCCACAAUAACAAUCGCCAAAACUAUAACCAAACACAACCCUACCAUCCCCGUCAAAACCACAACCAAACACAGGCCUACCAAAAUCAAACCCAAAACCGCAAUUACCCAAAUCCCGAUAGAAGAGUCCCACAAUUCGAUCCCAUACCUAUUCUUAUGUAGAACUGGACAAUCAUCUGUUAAGGGAGAGAGUGAUAAGCCCAAUGUUACCUGCGAGUACCACUCUGGAGUAAUUGGCCACUCUAUCGAACAUUGUAAGGCUUUGAAGCAUAAGGUGCAAAACCUAAUAAAUGCCAAACAACUACAUUUCAAGCCUACUGUGCCAGACGUGGACAGAAAUCCAUUACCUAAUCAUGGUAAUGAGGUUGUGAAUGUUGUAGAGGAGGCUCAAGGUAGAGCAUUCGUUUAGGAAGCAAAUGAAGUAAAAACACCCAUGAGGGAAAUUUUUCAAGAGAUGUGUAAGCGUGGGAUGGUGGAAAAGAUGGUGGAAGAUGAAAAUUCAACUGAUUGUGAGUUGANNNNNNNNNNNNNNNNNNNNNNNNNNNNNNNNNNNNNNNNNNNNNNNNNNNNNNNNNNNNNNNNNNNNNNNNNNNNNNNNNNNNNNNNNNNNNNNNNNNNGAGGCCUUCGUAUCAAGCUGUUAACGCUACCACUAGAAGUGAGGAAGACAUGAGAAGGACUAUGAGGCCAUCAAUUACUCGAUAUGAACCUGUAUUGAACAUUCCGGAUAAUGCUCAGUUACACCCACAAAUAACUCGAUGUGUACCAGUCAUAAGUAGGAUGGAGCAUGUUCUAAGGCCUGCAGCAGAAGAGAACCCACAACCUUUCCCUUACAAAACAGAUAAAGCGGUACCAUGGAUCUAUAGUGGAGGGAAUUCAGAGACAACUGAGCAACAGAUAGAAGUCACCAAUGUUGUUGGGGACAAUCAGAUAACUAGAAAUGGAUGUGUCUAUGUUCCCUCAUAUGCUGAAAAUGCCUUAGCCAGAGAUAAAGGAAAAAGGAAAGUAUAUAUCCCUGUAGNNNNNNNNNNNNNNNNNNNNNNNNNNNNNNNNNNNNNNNNNNNNNNNNNNNNNNNNNNNNNNNNNNNNNNNNNNNNNNNNNNNNNNNNNNNNNNNNNNNNAGCAGAGUGAGUAUAAGGUCGUGGAUCAGCUGACCCGCACUCCAGCCAGGAUAUCCAUUUUGUCUCUGCUAAUGAGCUAUGAACCCCACAGAAAAGUGCUAAUGGAGAUAUUGAACCGUGCACAUGUUAGUCACGACAUAACCACUGCCAAGCUUGGUGGCAUCAUCAAUAACAUUGUGGCUGACAAUUACAUAUCUUUUAGUGAUCAGGAAAUAUCUUCUGAGGGAAUGGGACACACUAACCCUCUGCACAUCUCUAUAAUGUAUCAGAAUUGUCUAAUUGGCAAAGUUCUUAUCAAUAAUGGCUCAUCUCUCAAUGUCAUGUCGAAAAGGACGUUGUUUAGGCUUCUAGUCGAUGCAUCGUAUAUGAGACCAAGUUCUAUGGUGGUGAAGGCAUUUGAUGGAUCCAACAGGGAUAUCAUGGGAGAAAUGGAGUUGCCUAUAAAAAUAGGACCCUACAUUUUCCAAAUAGUAUUCCAUAUCAUGGACAUUAAUCCCAGUUACAGUUGUUUGUUGGGAAGGUCGUGGAUCCAUGCUUCAGGGGCUGUACCUUCUACAUUGCACCAACGAGUUAAGUUUAUAGUGGAUGGAAAACUCCUUACUAUUCUGGGAGAAGAAGAUAUGUUGGUAUCAAGAUCUCUUGACACUCCGUACAUUGAAGCAACAGAGGAAGCUAUUUGAACAUCCUUCCAAGCAUUGGAGAUUGCCAACGCUUCAUUUGUAGGAGGGGGGACACCCACACUACGCCCCCAACCUUCAGAGGCAUCACUGAGGAUGGCCAGAGUAAUGCUGCAGAAGGGCUACCAACCUGGAAAAGGGCUCGGGAAGUUUGGCCAAGGAAGAGAAAAUAUCGUCAUGAUACAUCACACUAAAGAUCGGUAUGGCCUGGGAUAUAGACCCACUCGGGAAGAUAGGGAAAGAACUACUAAGGAGAAGAAGAAAAGAAGAAUGGCUCGCCUGGGGCAGUGGAAGUAUGAAGCUGGAGGGAUGUUCAUCCCACACAUUAGUAGGAACUUUGUUAGUGUAGGCUGGGAACCCAGAAUGAUUGUUGUUUUGGGAGAUGAUGAUUCAGAAGGUGGGGCAGACUACAUUGUUCAGUGUCCUCCAGACACCACUCUCAACAACUAGAUAUAGGAAGAUGCAUCUCCACAAGUGUUUUUAGAAACAAUGUAAUAAGAUGCUAGAAUCCCUUAGCCAUGUCUAAAGCUAUUGGGUUUAUUUUCUUUCUUUUCGAAUAAGGACAUCUAUUUAUUUUUCAUCGAAUAGUACAAGUUUUGAAUUCAAUAAAAUGCAUUUCUUUCUUCAUAUUAUGUGUUUCAUUCAAUUCUUCAUAUUUUACUUGCACACACUAAAACAAGCACACACAAAAGGUAAAACCAUGAAAAAAAAUUAAAAAAAAUAACUAAUCACAACAUCAACCUAAUGUAGAUCCAACUUUAACUCUAGAAAUAAUAAUUGUGUUAUGAGCCACACAUACAAUCACGAUCAUCCAGUAAUCAGCUCAAUGAAAGAGAUAGUGAUGAAGAAUGGGAAUCAUCACCUGAGUUAUUAAGGAUGGUUGAGCAGGAGUCCAGAGAGAUUAAACCUCAUGAAGAGCCCACUGAGCUAGUAAAUUUGGGGACAGAGGACGACAAAAGGGAAGUGAAAGUAGGUACAUUGAUGAAAGAGGAAGAACGCAAAAAGAUGAUUCAACUUCUGCAUGAGUUCAAAGANNNNNNNNNNNNNNNNNNNNNNNNNNNNNNNNNNNNNNNNNNNNNNNNNNNNNNNNNNNNNNNNNNNNNNNNNNNNNNNNNNNNNNNNNNNNNNNNNNNNAAGUUGUUUGAACGACUCAGAAAGUAUAGCCUCAAGCUAAAUCCUACAAAAUGUAGCUUUGGGGUUAAAUCGGGGCGAGUCCUUGGUUUCAUUGUCAGCCAGAAAGGAAUUGAAGUAGAUCCCGAGAAGGUCAAAGCAAUCAUCGAAAUGCUAGCACCCCGAACUGAGAAGGAAGUCAGAGGUUUCUUGGGUCGUUUAAACUAUAUAUCCAGAUUCAUUUCCCAGCUAACAGCUACAUGUGAACCAAUUUUCAAGCUAUUAAGGAAGAGUCAGGAAGUUCGAUGGAAUGACGAUUGCCAGAGAACCUUUGAAAGCAUAAAAGAAUAUUUGACCAAACCCCCAAUAUUGAUGCCUCUAGUACCUGGUAGACCUCUUCUAAUGUACCUAACAGUGCUAGAGGACUCUAUGGGAUGUGUCUUAGCCCAACAUGACGAAUCAGGCAGAAAAGAGCAAGCCAUAUACUAUCUAAGCAAGAAGUUCACUGAGUGCGAGACGAGAUACUCAAUGCUAGAACGUACAUGUUGUGCAUUAGCCUAGGCAUCUCGUCGAUUGAGGCAGUAUAUGUUGAGUCACACCACUUGGUUGAUUUCGAAGAUGGAUCCUGUGAAAUAUAUCUUUGAGAAACCAAUAUUAACAGGGAGAAUUGCUCGGUGGCAGGUCUUAUUGUCAGAAUAUGAUAUAGUGUAUGUGACACGGAAAGCAAUCAAAGGUAGUGCCCUUGCAUAUUAUCUUGCUAGUCAACCCAUAGAGAAGACUGAACCAAUGAACCAAGAGUUUCCCAAAUGAGUGUAUCAUGAGUCUAUCCUUGGGAGAACCAACAAAAGAUGGCGUGUGGACAUUUGUAUUCGAUGGGGCAUCCAAUGCACUCGGACACGACAUAGGGGUCGUACUCGUAUGUCCAGAAGGCGACUUCACUCAUAUUACUGCUAGGUUAUGCUUUGAUUGCACCAACAAUAUAGCCGAAUAUGAAGCAUGUGCCCUAGGUUUGCAGGCAUCCUCAAUGUUCCAUAUCAGUGGGAAAGAUCAACCUCUCAUCAAAAUAGAAAGUAGAGAUCAACCAAUCCAUUGUUGUGCUCUAGAAGUAGAGCAAGAUGGAAAGCCAUGGUAUCAUGACAUCAAGGUCUAUAUACAGAAAAAGGAGUAUCCAGGUGGUGCCUCUGAAACUGAUAAGAGAACCUUGAGAAGACCAGCCAUGGGUUUUUUUCUAGAUGGUGAUGUUCUUUACAAAAGGAAUCAUGACAUGGUACUCCUCAGAUGCCUAGAAGAGAAAGAAGCCGAAGUAAUACUCAAGGACGUGCAUGAAGGCUCGUUUGGAACUCAUGCAAACGGUCAUGCUAUGGCUAGAAAAAUCUUAAGGGCAGGUUACUUUUGGAUGACAAUGGAGACAGAUUGUUGUACUUAUGUCAAGAAAUGCCACAAAUGUCAAAUUUAUGCAGACAAUAUCAAUGCUCCACCAAAUCCUCUAAAUGUCCUUUCAGCACCAUGGCCUUUCUCCAUGUGGGGGAUGGAUGUUAUCGGACCAAUAGAAUCGAAGGCUUCCAAUGGACAUCGUUUCAUCCUCGUGGCCAUCGACUACUUCACAAAGUGGGUUGAGGCAUGUUCAUAUGCCAAUGUGACCAGAACAGUGGUACUACGAUUUAGCAAAAAGGAGUUAGUGUGUAGAUAUGGGUUACCCAGCAAGAUCAUCAUGGACAAUGCUACAAACCUGAACAACAAGAUGAUGACCGAGAUGUGCAGUGAAUUCAAGAUCAAGCAUCAUACAUCUUCACCUUAUCGCCCCAAGAUGAACGGAGCAGUAGAAGCAGCAAACAAAAAUAUUAAGAAGAUUGUUCAGAAGAUGGUGGUAACAUACAAGGAUUGACAUGAAAUGUUACCCUUUGCUCUACAUGGGUAUCGCACAUCCGUACGCAUAUCAACUGGGGCAACACCGUACUCGCUAGUGUACGGAAUGGAGGCAGUGCUCCCAAUUGAAGUAGAAAUUACAUCACUCAGAAUCAUGGCAGAAUCAGGGUUGAAUGAAUUAGAAUGGAUCCAAGCACGGUACGACCAACUGAACAUGAUAGAAGAGAAAAGAUUAGCUGCUAUAUGUCAUGGUCAAUUAUACCAUAAAAGGCUCAUGAGAGCUUAUGCUAAGAAAGUUCGACCGCGCCAUUUUCAAGAGGGAGAUCUGGUGCUUAAGAAGAUACUCCCAUUACAGAAGGACCAUAGGGGAAAGUGAACCCUAAAUUAUGAAGGACCAUUCGUGGUGAAAAAGGCGUUCUCUAGAGGAGCAUUGAUACUGACCACUAUGGACAUAAAUGAUCUACCUCUUUCGGUAAAUUCAGAUGUCGUGAAGAAAUAUUAUGCUUGAGAGACCUUUCAAAAAAAAACAAAACAAAAACAAAUACAAAAACAAAAAAAGAAG